CAAGUCCCAGGUCUUGGCUGACUUCGUGGCUGAAUGGGUCGACACCCAGCUCCCAACAGCUCCGAUCCAGCCGGAGCUCUGGACCAUGUUCUUCGACGGGUCGCUAAUGAAGACAGGAGCCGACGCAGGCCUACUCUUCAUCUCGCCCCUCGGGAAGCACCUACGCUAUGUGCUACGCCUCCAUUUCCCGGCGUCCAACAAUGUGGCCGAGUAUGAGGCUCUGGUCAACGGGUUGCAGAUCGCCAUCGAGCUAGGGGUCCGACGCCUCGACGCUCGCGGUGACUCGCAGCUCGUCAUCGACCAAGUCAUGAAGAACUCCCACUGCCGCGACCAGAAGAUGGAGGCCUAUUGCGAUGAGGUUCGGUGCCUGGAAGACAAGUUCUAUGGGCUCGAGCUCAACCACAUCGCCCGGCGCUACAACGAGACUGCGGACGAGCUGGCUAAAAUAGCCUCGGGGCGAACAACGGUUCCCCCGGACGUUUUCUCCCGAGACCUGCAUCAACCCUCCGUCAAGAUCGACGACACGCCCGAGCCCGAGGCACCCUCGGCCUAGCCCGAGGUACCCUCGGCUCAGUCCGAGGCACCCUCGGCUCGGCCCGAGGCGCCCUCGGUUCAGCCCGAGGUACCCUCGGCCCCCGAGGGCGAGACGCUGCACGUCGAGGGGGAGCAAAGCGGGGUCACGCCUGAUCAAAACUGGCAGACCCCGUACCUGCAAUAUCUCCACCGAGGAGAGCUACCCCACGACCGAGCCGAAGCCCGGCGGUUGUCGCGGCGCGCCAAGUCGUUCGUCUUGCUGGGAGAUGGGAAGGAGCUCUACCACCGCAACCCCUCAGGCAUCCUCCAGCGAUGCAUCUCCAUCACCGAAGGUCAGGAACUCCUCCGAGAGAUACACUCGGGGGCUUGCGGCCAUCACGCAGCACCUCGAGCCCUUGUCGGAAAUGCUUUCCGACAAGGUUUCUAUUGGCCGACGGCGGUGGCCGACACCACUAGAAUUGUCCGCACCUGCGAAGGGUGUCAGUUCUACGCAAGGCAGACCCACCUGCCCGCUCAGGCUCUGCAGACGAUACCCAUCACCUGGCCUUUUGCUGUGUGGGGUCUAGACCUCGUCGGCCCCUUGCAGAAGGCACCCGGGGGCUACACGCACCUGUUGGUCGCCAUCGACAAAUUCUCCAAGUGGAUCGAGGUCCGACCCCUAAACAGCAUCAGGUCCGAGCAGGCGGUGGCGUUCUUCACCAACAUCAUCCAUCGUUUCGGGGUCCCGAACUCCAUCAUCACCGACAACGACACCCAGUUCACCGGCAGAAAGUUCCUGGACUUCUGCGAGGAUCACCACAUCCGGGUGGACUGGGCCGCCGUGGCUCAUCCCAUGACGAAUGGGCAAGUAGAGCGUGCCAACGGCAUGGUUCUACAAGGACUCAAGCCUCGGAUUUACAACGACCUCAACAAGUUCGGCAAGCGAUGGAUGAAGGAACUACCCUCGGUGGUCUGGAGCCUGAGGACAACACCGAGCCGAGCCACGGGCUUCACGCCGUUCUUUCUAGUCUAUGGGGUCGAGGCCAUCUUGCCCACAGACCUGGAAUACGGUUCCCCGAGGACGAGGGCCUAUGCCGACCAAAGCAACCAAGCUAGUCGAGAAGACUCGCUGGACUAGCUGGAAGAGGCUCGGGACAAGGCCUUACUCCACUCGGCGUGGUACCAGCAGUCCAUGUGACGCUACCACGCCCGAGGGGUCCGGUCCCGAGACCUCCAGGUGGGCGACCUGGUGCUACGGCUGCGACAAGACGCCCGAGGUCUACACAAGCUCACGCCCCCUGGGAGGGGCCGUUCGUCAUCGCCAAAGUUCUGAAGCCCGGAACGUACAAGCUGGCCAACAGUCAAGGCGAGGUCUACAGCAACGCUUGGAACAUCCAACAGCUACGUCGCUUCUACCCUUAAGAUGUUUUCAAGUUGUUCAUAUACCUCGCUCCCACGCAAAGUUUAGUCAUCAAGGAAGGGUCAGCCUUGCCUCGGCAAAGCCCGACCCUCCCUCGGGGGCUAAAAGGGGGGAAUCCCCUCUGCGUCGAAUUUUUUCCUCGAAAAAAGAUCCUUUCUGCCAGAAUGUCUUUCGUGCUUUUCGACUACUUCGAAAGUGGAUCCUGAAAACGACGAAGUACACGUAAGCAGCCAAGGCUGACCGAGCCGAGGGACUCCUACGCCUCCGGGAUACGGAUACCUCACUCAUCACCUUCUGCGAUAAGUAACUCAUGUUCGGAUGAGUGAUUCCGCAGACCGAACAAGUCUUCACGUUCGAAAGCCCUUCUGUCGGAGCGAUUCUUCGAGCCUUCUCGACUGCGUCGGUGACAGAGCCCCAUGGACGGGUAAGAGUGCGCGUAAGCAAGGUCCUCCCCCUACGGCGCGGGGACUGGGUCCCACACGUCAUGCAAGCCGGCCCAGAGCAGAAGAAGCCGAACCGUCGCGCGCGGUGCAUGCAACCGCCCAGCGGUUACAAGCGGCUCUCCACUUUUGCCCAGACCAGCGGGCGAAAGGGCAGGCAGCCAUGCAGGCGGCAUACAACCGCGCCAAGUGGGCGCACUUCUCCGACAUCCAACACGCCCAGCAUGGAGGCCCACGCCCACGCGUCACGCAACCGGCGCGACGGAUGCUUCGUGCAAGCAACUGCACCGCCACUUGCGCCACUACCGCGCCUCCUCGACUGCGGAACCAAUACCGCGACUCGAGGCGACCUAGCGCACGACCCAGCAGCGCCAGCCUGGCGCGAUGGUCAAUGCGGCCAAAAAUGGGCCAGCAGUAAUGGCGGUGGCAGGCGGGCAGGAGCAGCAGUCACGUCGUCAGCCAGGCUUACGUCCCAUCCGGGGGCAGCGAGAGAACCCUCUCUCACGGCGUAAAGACGACGCGCCCAUGUUCCGUUCCUCGAACUGCUCGCGCACGCGCAACGGCCGCCCCGCGAACCGCACGCCCCGUCGCAUUAACUCCGCGGCAGGAAAGGCGGCGCCUCUGGCAGGGGAAGCGAGCGGCGCUUCGCCUUCGCCAUAAUGACCGCGUCAAAAAAGGUACGCCACAUUAUUCGAUUUCAAAUCCUUUUCCUUUUUUUUCCUCUUUCUCUCUCUUACAACAGGGACCAGGAAAGGGGAAUACCCCGAAAAGGAUCCUUCUCCAUGAAGGAACCAGGCCCCGAGCCUCCCUACUGAUCAGAGGUUCGAAGGCUGGCCCCUCGGAAGGGUUCAACAGCCGCCUCAGAGCGCGUGGGCUCCACACCCACUACUGGUCAGAGGUUCGAAGGCCGGCCCCUCGGAAGGGUUCAACGGCCGCCUCAGGCUACUCGGGCUCCGCGCCCACUACUGAUCAGGGGUUCGAAGGCUGGCCCACGAAGGGUUCACAGCCGCCUCAGACACAGAGCGAGGGAUGACCAUGGGUACGUUCGAUACAUAACCAAGGCUCGAGCUGCGCUCCCGAGGUACCCUAGGACAUUUCCGAGACCAGCGGGAACGAUCUUGUAACGGAAUCCCAUCAGAGGGAGGCAUCGAGCCCUCGGACCCCGUCGCCAGGGGACCGGGUCCGGCAGAUCACCCGUAGGUACUUUUGGGCGCGCCUCUGGGCCUCUAGCCGACCCCUAACGAAUGGGGCACGAACGUCCGCUCAGAUUACCCGCCUGCAGCUCACCGGAGACACCAUGUUUGGCGCCCACCGAGGGCAACAUGGCGCUUUCCUCCCUCCUCCUUGCGGAAAGGCAACGCAGGGGCGUAUGUAAAAAAGUCGAGUCUGUCCCUGAUCGCCCUCUCGCCCUGUGCAGAGGCUCGGGGGCUGCUCUCGCAAACCCGGCUCCGGUCAAACCAUUGACAGCGUCAACAUACCAGCCCGAGAACUUGGGACCCGACCGUACACCCGGGCUACGGCCAGCUCGCAUGAGGGAACGACCAGACCAGCCGAAGCAUUACGCGAGGCAUUAAGACCUCGGAGGAGUCAAACCACUCCUCCGAGGCCUCGGGGGCUACACCCGGCGGGUGCGCUCGCGCGCACCCACCGGAACAAAACGCAACCGAGAAAGGCUGGUCCCCUUGCAAAAAAGUGCGACGAAAGCCUCCAAGCGAGUGCUAACACUCCCUUCGAGGCUCGGGGGCUACUGUCGGGGACCAUAAUUAGGGGUACCCUCAAGGCUCCUAAUUCUCAGCUGGUAACCCCCAUCAGCAUAAAGCUGCAAAGGCCUGAUGGGUGCGAUUAAGUCAGGGAUCAGUCCAUUCGAGGGACUCGAUCACGCCUCGCCCGAGCCUAGCCUCGGACAAGGGCAGCCGACCCCGGAGGAUCUCCGCCUCGCCCGAGGCCCCCCUCCAGUGGCGAACAUAUUUCCGGCUCGCCCGAGGCCCUGUCUUCGCCAAGAAGCAACCUUGACCAAAUCGCCGCGCCGACCGACCAAAUCGCAGGAGCAUUUAAUGCAAAGGUGGCCUGACACCUUUAUCCUGACGCGCGCCCUUCAGUCGACAGAGCCGAAGUGACCGCCGUCACUUCGCCGCUCCACUGGCCGGCCUGACAGAAAGACAGCGCCACCUGCGCCGCUCCGACUGCGGUGCCACUUGACAGAGUGAGGCUGACAGGCAGUCAGGCCCGGCCAGAGGCACCAUAGGAAGCUCCGCUUCGCCCGACCCAGGGCUCGAACUCGGGCUAAGCCCCGGAAGACGGCGAACUCCGCUCCGCCCGACCCAGGGCUCGGACUCGGGCUAAGCCCCGGAAGACGGCGAACUCCGCUCCGCCCGACCCAGGGCUCGGACUUGGGCUAAGCCCCGGAAGACGGCGAACUCCGCUCCGCCCGACCCAGGGCUCGGACUUGGGCUCAGCCUCGAAAGACGACGAACUCCGCUCCGCCCGACCCAGGGCUCGGACUUGGGCUCAGCCCCAGAAGACGACGAACUCCGCUUCGCCCGACCCCAGGGCUCGGACUCCGCCCUGGCCUCAGCCAACGGUCUUCGCCUCGCCCGACCCAGUGGCUCGGACUCGACCUCGGCCACGGAAGACAGACUCGACCUCGGCCUCGGAGGAGCCUCCACAUCGCCCAACCUAGGGCGCGGGCCGGCCACAUCAACGGGAGGCGCCAUCAUUACCCUACUCCAAGCUGACUCAGGCUACGGGGAACAAGACCGGCGUCCCAUCUGGCUCGCUCCGCCAGAUAGGCAAUGAUGGUGUCCCGCACGCUCCCUGACGACGGCGGCCCUCGGCCCCCUUACGGAAGCAAGAAGACGUUAGCAAGGACUCGACAGCCCCGACAGCUGCCCUUCCACCAGGCUCCAGCGCUCCUCCGACGGCCACGACAUCACACCAACUGGGUGCUAAAACCUCUCUGGCUGUCACGACGGCGUGUACUUAGGGCACUAGCUGUCACACCCGGAUUCUAGGGGUCCAAAACCCGGGCGCGAACAUAAACACCAGGUGUGCUAGGACCAAGUCUCACACAUAUGAUGAAUCAUGGCACAGGAUCGAAUGUCACAACUUUACUAUAUAAUAGGAGUUCUAUACAAAAUAAAUAAUUAAUUACAUUAUAAGGAGACAACGGUCCAGCAACCCAAAGUUGACUGGGAGACGACGACCUAGACCACUCACGAACAGCAUCCUCCAUGCGCCUCAUCCUGCGGUACCUGUUCUUGACCUGUGGGGGGGGGGGUGUGAGACAGCAAGGGUGAGCUCACAUACGUUCAUCGCUCAACAAGUUGUGGGGAAUAAUGUGCAUGAACUCGCCAAAGAUGGGAGCUCACGUGAAGUGUAAGGCUUACCAAAGAGGAUGGUUAGAGCUGAGCAUUGCUUUUAAAGUUGGUCAAAAUUUUAUUAGCAGUUACUAAGUAUAAGUAAAUACCAACCCAAUUAAGUAGUAGAACAAAAGUAACAUCAUCACCUGCGAUGCAAUGCAUAUGACAAAUUGAAUUUAGUUCCAUAAAUUAAUCAUGUGAGGGUCCGAGCCGCUCAUGACCGUGAGCACGACUAGUAUACCAGUUUUACACUCUGCAGAGGUUGCGCAUCUUUACCCACAAGUCAUGUUACCCAUCUGCCAAGGGAUCGCGACUUCCCAUACACCUCUACCGAGGAGGCGAGGCAGGGUAACACUACGAGGCCUUUACAAAGUUCCGCUAGCUUCAGAAAACCCGCUACAGUUAUAGGAAGCUCCAAUGCAGGAAUCCCUUGCAGGACCGCCAUCGUAGCAAAAUCCUCCCGAGGGCCUCCCUACACUGACCACUCCCCUACUGCCCUUGCCCCUUUCGGGUAAGGUAGUCCUCCACUAGCUUUCCUAAUUAAUCAGCCAAGGGCGUCCCAUUAAACCCUUGUGGUAGCACUGUUUUCCCGGGUGGUCGCUCCAUGUUCCAAUUAACAUAAUGAUCUUAUCAUGAACAGUGAUAAUAAACAGAUAAUAAAAGUGUGAUCAUGAAUAAUGUAUCUUCAUACCCAAAACCACAUAAAGCACUAGCAAGUACUACCCAAAAAGUUCAGUGGUAAACAAGGUAUAAAGAUAAUCAAACUAGGGUAACCUAUUGGGUCCCAUCAAAAUUAACCUAUGCAGAUCAUUAUGAUUAAUCAGAACAUGAGUAGGUAAAAAGAAGUGAUCAAGGGCACAACUUGCCUGGGACUUGAGAUUCCAGGUACCAGGAUGAUCUUCAGAUGACUCGUGACCUCACGCUAGUCGUAGCAAUACAAACAAACAUUGUAUAGGCAAAAUUAACAUUACACCAAACAUAAGUACAAACUGCAUAAUAACGAUCUACGCGUUGCUACGAGACUAACGCAACUGGAACGAGUCAAAUCGGAUUUAAAACGGAGGAGAUACAAAUUUUCUAAGGUUUAGGUAUUUGAUACGAGAUUAAUUAAGAGAUCAAUUUUAUUAUUGUUUUCAUGUCAAAACAGAGGCAUUAGGUGAUAAACAACAUUAUUACAAAAUCAUAGCAAUUAAAAUGGAUUAAUUUGGACAUCAUAUGAAUUUUCUAUGAAUUAAACCAAUUCUUAGCAUUUAUUUCUACAUUAAAAAUCCAAUUCUAUAUUUGUUUUCUGAUUUUUCUGACUCUCUGGACUGGGCGCACUAAUAAAGAGAAGUUCAGGGGCUAAGCCGCAAGAUUCCUAAGACUCAGCCCACAUCAGCUAUGGAUGGCGGGUUGAUUACUGCUUUCCUCGGGGUCUCUUUAGAAAAAUGCUCCGCGAAGGGGUAUGGAUCUAUCCUGGCUGUCCGAUUCAAGGUCUAUGGUCAAGAUUAGAUCCACGCUUUAUGAAAUCCCGCCCAGAUCUGGGCCUUACGAUCACAAUCUAACCGCCCGAACUCCUCGGUACGAAGGGGGACGCAAGAUUUAAUCUACCCCCUCCGCUUAUCAUCCUACGGUCCUGGUUUCUUUAUCCCGAUCCUCUUAAUCCCCGCCGUCCAUCGCGCGAUCAAGGGAUGCCCUGGCGUCUUCUUCCUCACCGGUUCUCUCUUCUACCCUUACACCGGCCAUGAAGCACGGUGGCCAGGGAACCCUCCGCGGCGGAUGCCCUGUCAAAGCACAAGCCUCGAUGCCCAAGCUCCCCAUGCAUUCCUCUCACACCGGCCAGUCAGUCCAAGGCGAUCGAGGCCACUAUAGCGCACUGACCAGCCGUAACCACCGUGCGAGCCCAAGUCUACAUGUGGCCGGUGAACCAGGGACGGGUAAAAGGACAACAUAGCGAAAGAUUCGCUUACCACUGAUGAGGUCGCGGCGACAUCCCGAUGACGGUCCACAAGUAACCCAUGUCUGUGCGUUGAGGCCCAGCCAUGGCGGCGCGCUGCACAGCGGCGAUUCCUCUGGUCGCUCCAUCCACGGCGUGAUCUGCAGCCCCCGAACUGGAUCCACGAGGAGGUUCAAGAGGAAAACAGAAGCAGCUGCCCCACCCGACCACGUGCACAGAACGACGGCGCGAGCGAAUUUGCAGAGCGGUGACGUUCAUCACCGAAUCGCCCUCAAUUUUCCCGUCUGGUGUUUUGGGCGAGGCGGCGAUGCUCCGGUUUGGUGGAGAACAGGGUGCGGCCAGGGCGGUUUAUAUACCCCGAGCCCCCGAACGCAUCAGAGACGACCAUGGUCAGCUGGUGAUCCCGGUUUAUCGCAACAACCCGCCGCGGCUUCACGCUGAUUUCGGCGAGAGGUUGGAGCGGACAAAGUGGCCCCACCCGGUAGUGUCAGACGGCGUAUAGUGCGGCGAAGUGGAUGACGAGUGGACCCCCACCGUGAACCCGAGUCCGCGCGCGAGUCUGGAUCCGGAGAUCCCGCGAGUUUUGGUUUGGUUCUGUUACGGUGGAUCCGGUGGAGUCGGCUGCCACAGGUAGGAGAUGGUGCUGACCACGCGGGGCCCACACGGAAGUGUCCCAACAGAAAAAGCGAAGGGAGAGUAGCCGAAUGGGCUGGCGCGCGUUUGAGGGGGAAAGAAGGAGAUGGGCCACGGCGCGAGAAACAGCCCAAGUGGAGAGACGAGCUUCACCUUUUCUUUUCUAUUUUUUCCCUAUUUCUUUUCAAGUUUGUGCUUCAACAUCAAUUUAAAUUUAAGUUUCCUAUUUCAAGUCUCAAAUAUCCAAUUCAAAUUCAAAAACCUGUUUGAAUUUUUAUGAUCUCAAAUAUAUUUUUAAUGUAAAGAUAAAUCAUCCUUUCAUUUUUUUUGAGUCUCACAUUAUGUUUAGAACUUUAAAUGUCCAGUUUAGAUUUGAGUCAUCAAACUUCAAUACUAUCCUUAUGUGCCUAUACUCAUUUAAAUAAAUGCUUGUAAUGUUUUAUUUUUUUAAUAAAAUGAAUAAUCAUUCAGUUGGAUACUAAACCUUUCUACAUUCAUUCUUUGUUUCAAAAGCUCAGUCCUCAAAAUCCAAAGCUCAAGUAUAGAUUGAAGAUAUCUCACUAUACUAUUUUAUUUCUUUAUUUAUUUUAUUAUUAUUAUACCAAUUUUGGGCCUUACAAAUCCUACCCCCCUUAACAGAAAUCUCGUCCUCGAGAUUUGUAAGAGGGUGCAUAAUCAUGUUAUCUCAAACAUAUGCACAGACAAAACCUCAGCAUGAUGCAUAAUUUAUUAGCAAAACACAGGGUCAAAUAGACGUUAUUAUUAUUCCUCGUAAGAUAGUAUCAACUACUAACUAAGUAACAUUUAACUAAAAUAGUAAUAUAUAUAUAUAUAUAUAUAUAUAUAUAUAUAGGGACGAGGUAAUGGAAGCCCUGGGCUUCCAUUAGUACCAGGAAGCCCCAGCCAGGUAUAGCCACGUCCCGUACCAGCGGGCGUCCCACCGGGCACGGGUUCUGACUCAGACAGAUUUUAGCGUAAAACGUAAACAAAAACAGUGUAAAUGAUUACGAAUUUUAGCGUAAAUCGUAGAUCUGUUUUGAAACUGCGAAUGCAGCCCGAAAAUUACGGCGUAAAAAUCUCGCGCGUCCCAUCGUGAUCGGGUUCUGACUCAGAAAGAUUUUAGCGUAAAACAUGAACCAAAACAGCGUAAACGAGUACGAAAUUUAGCGUAAAUCGUAUAUCUGUUUCGAAACCGUAAAUGGGUCCCGAAAAUUACGGCGUAAUAAUCGCGUGCGUCCGAUCGUGCGCGGGUUUUGGCUCAAAUAGAUUUUAGCGUACAACGUGAGCUAAAACAGUGUAAAUGAGUACACAAUUUAGCGUAAAUCGUAUACAUGUUUCGUAACAGCAAAUGAGGCCUGAAUUACGGCGUGAAAAUCGCGUGCGACCGAUUGAGCGCGGAUUUCAGCGUAAAACGUGAACCAAAACAUUGUAAAUUAGCACAAAUUUUACCAUAAAUCGUAUAUCUGUUUCGUAAUGGCGAAUGGACCCCAAAUUUACGGCUCCAAAAAUCGUGCGCCACCGGUCGUGUGCGGGUUCUGGCUCGGACGGAUUUAAGCGUAAAUCGUGAACCAAAACAACGUAAUGAGUAUGAAUUUUAGCGUAAAUCGUCCAUCUGUUUCAUAAUAACGAAUGUAGAUCGAAUGUAUCUCUCAGCGCAUGAGAUUGUCAUAAAAUGCAUCAAGAAAUUUCGUAAAUUGGUGUAAGAUACAACAAGAAGUGAUCUGAGGUAAUUGUAGCGUAAAAUGCAAGCUAACCAUCUACAGGAGAACUGUUUCAGAUUUUACAAUAAGAUAUAAAAGAUAAUUAUUCCUGUACUCAGCUAUGAUAAUGUCGUGUUUACAUUUUAGCUGUUGGUACAUACACACAAAACUCGGUUUCACCAUAACACCACUGUUAGCAAAAAACUGAGUUCAAAAGGCUCUUCCAGCUUUCCUAAUGUGGAGAAAACCACUGAGGUCCAUAUCUGCAAACGUAACAUGAACUGUUAAUAUGAUCUUUCCUUGUUAAUAUGUCUUUUCAAGCUUGUUAUGACUAACAUAACCUAAAGUCUAAACUGAAUGCAAACUUGAGUUAGAAGAUCAUAUUACCUAUAGCACAAAUGUCAUGUUAUUCUGACUAUUUUAGGACCAACAAACCAUUUGGAAGCCAAACAAAUCCCUGUUCAAUUUGCCUCAAAGCAACAUAUAAGAAAUUACAUAGUCAGCUUCUGAAUACGUGCACUGCUCUUAAAUGAAGAAAACUGGAGCCAGGCAAAAAAAUAAGUGAAACUAUACCCACAAAUAACCCAGUGAAAUCAUAAAGCUAAGGGUGCACAUGGAUCGGACACAAUCGUAUAUCACUAAUAUUACAUUUGUUUCUAGAUUUCUAUUCGGAUUUGAAUAUGGAUAGUAUCAACUAGCUAUGUCGGAUAGGAUACAAAUGGAUAUCGACAUCAUAAACAGAUUUAUUUGUUCUGAUAUGGAUGCGGUAUCGGAUGUUAAACAUCCAGACUCAAAUACGAACGGAUCUGAACUCCUCUAAACAAAUUCUAUGGUUAGAAAAUAUAUUCCAGCGGAAACCCACAACCUCGGAACCCCAAACAGCCCUUGCGGAUGGAAAUCCACAAACCAGAUCCGAAGCUCCCGAACCCCGCCAGCUGCCUUAAGCGCAGAAAACCCCCAAAUCGUAACCCCAUCAAUCGUAGAUUCCACAAAAUCCACACCCGUCACUAGAGAGACAAGAAAGAGGAAUCACAGAGAAUUGCCAAUGGACCUCGGUGCAGGCGGCGGUCAGCAUCUGGCCAAUGGAGCUCGGUGCAGGCGGUGACGCAGGGAUGCCCGGAGCUGGAUUCUUGGUCGGUGAUGGCGCGGGAGCAGGAGAGGGUGUCGGAGAUGGCAUCGCGGAGGAGAUAUUGGGGCUGGCGCUGGGGUCGGACGAGGAGGCAGAGUAACCGGGGGGCACUGCCGCGUCGAGCCAACGCCGGAGAGCCCCCGAGGUGGCGAGCAGCAGAGCAGGAGAUCCGGACGCCGGUGCCCGGUGCCUAGGCAGCUGGCCGAGUCUGCGAAUCACCGAGUCUGGAGAGGGCGAGGGGCGAACAGAUCUGGGCUAGGAGGCACCUCUGGAACGAUGACAGGGAGGCGAUCGCCAUGGAUCUCGUCUAUGGGAUGCUUGUCCGCCGUGCUCGCUCGUGUCGCGCAACAGCCGCCACUGAAACCCUAGUCUCAGCCAUCGCGCGGAAGGCCAGGUAGAGCGGUUGGUUUUAUACAAUGGUACAUGAGCGUAAACUUGUGUAUAACUAAGCGUAAACAUUAUAGUGGGUGGACCGGAUGGUCGCCUGGUCAACCGAGCGGGUGGUUAGGGCUUCCUGUAGUUAAAAAGAGCCCAGGGCUCUAAAUACUAUAUCUAUAUAUAUAUAUAUAUAUAUAUAUAUAUAUAUAUAUAUAUAUAUAUAUGUUUAUGUAGUUGGGUGGAGUGGUGGUGGAGGUAGUGGGUGAUUAGGACAGUAUAGGUAUCCAGUUACUGUUCAUGUAAGAUAUAAGCUAGACAGGUUGAGGUAAGAAAGAUUAUGGCAAGGAAAAGGCUUUAUCCAAAUUGUUUAAGUCCUGAUUUAUCUCGAGAUUCACUUGACUGUUAUAUCCUCCCUUGACGAUGUUGAUCUUUUCUUCGCUGGUCUUGGUCUCAUUGAUUCGUGGUAAGUGCAUAUCAUCGGCGUUGGGGGAUAUGGUUAAGAUAGAUUUGGAUGGGAUAGACUACAUGAUGUAGGUCAAAACUUGUUUGACGAUGGGUGGGGAUAGAUAGAUUAUGCAAUUCUUCAUAACUCUAUUGGUUGGAUCAGAUCUCAUGCAUGUGGCUGAGUUGGUUUAAGGCACUAGUUUAGUUUUAAGUGCAUAAGGGGUAUGGCCUUAUCUUUUGUACUAGCAUUAAGUAACUUACUCUAGAUUAGAUCAUAAUAGAUUAGAUAAAAUCUAGAUUGGGUUGGGUAUGACUGGAUUAGACUAGUUAAGAUCUAAGUAAAUUUUGGAUUAGCUCAUGGUUGUUACUGUAGAGUGGGAUAUGUAUGCCUAUUAGAACAAGAUAAAUCCAUAAGGAUAAGGUAGAAUCUUUUGAGGUUAGUUAGAUCUAUUAGGAUAAGAUAAAAUCUUUUCAAGGUAAGAUGAAUCUAUUAAGGUAAGAGAGAGUCUUUUAAGAUAAGAUGGAUCUAUUAAAAUAUAUUCUAGUGGGGGAUAUUUUUAGUUGAUCUAGUUUAUCUUAUAAAUAUAUCCAGUUUAAUAGAUCCAUUUUUGUUGGGGGCCUUCGGCUUCCGAAGGUCCUCAAAAACAUGAUUUAACAAUGUUUCUGGAGUAUAAUGUGUGAACAGGUAUCUUCGGACUUGAAUCAGAAAGGGAGAAGCUCAAAAGAUACGAAGGUUGACACAGUGCCGAAGCUGUGAAGCAGGAAAGCUUCGGCAUGUUCGCAGAAAGGGGAACCGACUUAAAGAUGAAAAGGCCAUUUAGACCUCGAUAGAAUGCUAUAGAAUUAUCACCAAAUGUAAAGGGCAUGUAUGUAAUUUUGUAUGGGUUGUACCCCGUGCCUAUAAAUAGGUGAACAGUACCCCCGUACUGUUCACGCUGACUUGGCAUUUGCUUUUGCGUCACACUUGUAUUUUCAUCUCCUUCCAAGCCGAAGGUACAUUUAUAAUUCAAUAUUGUUUCUAUUUCUUUAUGAUGAGUUAAUAAAGUUAAAUGAAUAAUGUUAUAUGAUUAUUCACGCUAUCUUUUAUGUUUCAUAUGCUUCGUCUUUUACUAAUGUAUAUUAUAGUGAUGAAGGUUAAUCCUUCAUGACCUUCGUCCGGAGAUCGUUAUAUCCUAAGGGAAAUAAUGCUUCGAAGGACGAAGGAUCUUAAUGUUUAACAUUUUCUGUGUUGCCUUGUUCUUAACUCAUAGCAUUUGAGAACAAGUCCCCAACAUUGGCGCCCACCUCCGGUGAACUCACUUCCACUUCGAGUCUUCGCGAACACCUUCGGAAGCUAUAGACCUUCGCUAUGGCGCCGAAGAAAGCUUCAGCGGCUGGGGCUGCAGCACUACAACCGCUGGACCACAACCAGGAGACCGUCUCUCUUCGGGAGGCCAGAAGCCAGAAGAGAAAAGCUGUUAGCCCGACGCUUGAGGAAGAAGAGCUAGACCAAGAAAUCAGAGAGAUGGAGAUGCUACAUCAACAAGUGCAGAGGAAGAAGGAGAAGAUGGCCCGCCUAGCUGAGUUGCAAAGGCAAAUUGACGAAGCUUCUGAGGAAGUUCGCCAUCUCACUCACGAUGAGCAGAACAGAAGGCCUCAUCAGAAAGACCUUCAUCAGGAGGGCUUCGUCAACGAAGACGACUGGUAUGAUAAUUUCCAUCAGGGAAAUUUUGUUUUUGAUGAUGCUUCUCCUCUGUCUGCUGAGCUGCAGGCUACUCCUUGGCCUCCAUCCUAUAAGCCACCCCAGCUCCCCAUGUUUGACGGCCACUCCGACCCGAAGCAAUUCUUGAUGAGCUACGAAGCAACAGUGUCUUCGUACGGGGGCAACGCUGCAAUCAUGGCGAAGUCUUUCGUCAUGGCCGUCAGGAAUGUUGCUCAGACCUGGUAUUCCUCCCUUCGGCCAGGAACAAUCACUUCAUGGCAGAAGCUGAAGGAUAUGUUACUGACCAGCUUUCAAGGAUUUCAAACGAAGCCGGUUACAGCUCAAGCCCUCUUCCAGUGUAUUCAGGAUCACGAAGAAUACCUUCAGGCGUAUGUCCGAAGGUUCUUACGAUUGAGGGCGCAGGCACCAACGGUGCCCAAUGAAAUCGUUAUCGAAGCCAUGAUCAAGGGGCUUCGUCCUGGACCUGCAGCUCAAUACUUUGCUCGGAAGCCUCCUCAGACCUUGGAGAAAUUGCUCCAAAAGAUGGAUGAGUACAUUCGUGCUGACAAUGACUUUCGCCAAAGAAGGGAGGAGGCCUUCAGAUUUUCUGAGAUGACCAGGGGCUUCGGAGGAAGAUACUACCCGAGGCAUGUCCGUUCCAUUCACAGCACUCAGAAUGAUGAUAAGGGGAGUCAGCAAAACAGGCCGCAGUGCUCCUCACAGGCUUCGGGGCAACAACAAACUUCCUUUCGGCCACCAGCUCCAAGAGGCAGAGGCGCCAGGGGCUUCGGCGGAAGAUUCGGAGAUCAGCCAAGGAGACUGUUUUGCCUAUUCUGUGGAGAGGGCAAGGGCCACACCACUAGGACGUGUCAUGUUACAAUCCAGAAGCAAAAGGAACUAGCCGAAGCUGCAUCUCAACAAGCUCAGUCGAAGCAGGUUAUGCAUACUGCUUCGUUUCAUCCGCCUUAUGUCCCACAAUACAUAGACAACCACCCUGCGGCUUCUGUAGCUUCGGCAAGUCAACCUCAAGCUUCCUGGCAGCAGCUUCCGCCUCCACCUCCAUUGCAGCAAGGUCAACAGCCAGAAGGGAGUCAAUACGCUCCACAGCAGAGGGACUUCAGAGAACAGUCCGAAGCUCGCACAGUCAACAGCACUGUGCCAGAGUCGAAGCACAUUUAUUGACAUAUCCUACCUUUGAUAGCAGUCUUUUCUAUUCAGUUUUAUUUUCUGUGAAGCAAAAAACAUUGAUAGUUUCCAUGUAAUAAUUUCGUUGUUUCCACGAGAAAAAUUUAUUUGAUUCACAGGCCUAAGUUGCCGAAGCCUAAAAUUUCUUCCGUUACCAAGAAGGACCUUCGGACUAAAAAUCCUUCGGAGUAACAAAAAGUCGUUCUAAGGAACGCAGAGUAAGUUUAUAAAGUCACAAAAAGUCGUUCCAAAGGGAGCGCAGCGUAAGUUUUCUGCUCAGAAGUCGUUCCUAAAGGAAUGCAGAGCCUACAGCGAAAAAUCAACGCUGAUACCGUCUAAGUAAAAGACGAAGAAGCUCCUAAGGGAGGCUUACAGCGAUAAGUCAACGCUGAUACCGUCUAAGUAAAAGACGAAGAAGCUCCUAAGGGAGGCUUACAGCGAAAAGUCAACGCUGAUGCCGUCUAAGUAAAAGACGAAGAAGCUCCAAAGACGUUCCUAAGGGAAUGCAGAGCUUACGAAUAUAUUUUAUGUGUAUCUUCGGAACAAAUGUCACAUGCAUAACAUAACAUCAUCACAUCAUCUUGCAUAGCAUAAGCAUCAUACAUCAUAUCGCAUUUGGCAAGAGAAGGGGACACUCUCAACCUUCGAAGGGAUGCUUUGAAAAAGUGACAUUGAAAUUGUAUAAGCUUCGGAAUACAGUUUCGGGGAAUAUUUUCACGAAACAUGGGCGAACUCUAUCAGAUCAAUAUCAAAGUUGCAUAGCUUCGGAAAAUAGCUUCGGAAAAUGUUUUCACGAGGCAUCGAUGUCAUUCAUCAGAAUAAUUUUGACGAAGGCUAUCUUCUUCACGACGCAUGAAAAGAAGGGAAGGUGUUUUUUCGCCGAAGGCUCAAAAGUGGUAUGUAUUUAAAGUUUCAUGCAUCGUAAAGAAUUCAAUAAUGAAAAGAGACUUGUAUAUUACAUUCAAAUGUACAAAGUGUUGCAUAGAUUACACUUUAAAUGUUUUUUCCAAAUAGCACCUAAUCUUCCCUCAAUACUGCUUCGGCGGCUUCAUUCAGAAGUUGGUCAACAACCUUGUCCAUGAUAGUUUCGGCCAUUUGAUUAAUUUCUUCAUCCCCUUUUGUGUGGGGGUCGGCAGAUCGUCCAACAGUUUCUGAGCGAAGAGAACACUUCUUCAGUACUUUUACAAAUCGCGAGCAAAGUUUAAAAUGAAAAUUACAACGCAACAAGAACGACUAGUUGGUACCUAACUGUCUUUCGGGCUCCCUACUCCUUUCGGCAGCGUCUGCUACUCUUCUAGCAUCGUGAAUGCCUUUUUCGCUUCUUUCAAUGAUCUCUCGCGCCAUUCCUCGGUCGCCGUCGUUCCAGAUAUCAGUAAAAAAUUUGCCACCAACCACGCUUGCUUCGGCCGAGGGGUCCUUGACGUCUUCGGAAGAUAAGGUAGCUUCGGAUUGAGCUAAAAAUUUUACAUGCCCGCAACCUUUCUUCUCUAAGACAGAAGCAAUUCCUCUGGCGCCCGAAAAAGCGCAUAUGUCGCCACGACUGUUCAGAAUCUCUUCGAAGGCCUCUGCUUCGUGGCUAAUCCAUUCCAGCGGACCUUCGGGAUUGCCUCGAGAGAAAUUCUCUUCGCUGGAAAAGGCGCCUACGCUGGCGAAGCUGGAUUUAAUUUUAUUCACACAUUCUACAGAUUUGACAUAGCAUUUCCCCUGAGAUGUGCGAAGCUCCUUAACUUUUGAUUCCAAUUUGUUGACCAUAAAAUCACUAAGUUCUCGUUUCGUUUCCUCAAGCGCGCGCUCCUCUUUAGCUCUAGCCAGCUGUUUCUGAAGAUCUUUAAUCUCGCGUUUUUGAGCUUCGGCCUGGGCCUUUGAAGCAGCUUCGUCUUUUUUCACUUUAUCUACCAGUGUAAGCAGAAUUUUAUCUUUUUCCAAAGCUUCGUUUCUCAGUCUGAUAACUUCGGAGCGUAAAUUAUUAAACGCAAUGUCAUAGCUUUCAUCUUCGGCGCUCUUUUGGGCUCUUAGUGCGUUGCUUAGGAUCAGGCCCUAUACGAAAAAGAAUUCAUAUAAGAAAAAAGGAAUGAGUUGCGUAAAAAUAAGGGGGUUUUUCAAGUGUUUAAUUCCUAUACCUUCAGGCUGUUGUACGCAAGACUGUCUGCGAGGUCUUCUUUCGUCAUGGCGCUUAAUCCAGAUUCAAGCUUCGGGAAACCAAUACUUCUGGCCAUUUCUCGGCAGACAGAUAGCUCUUUGUUGUCAGGCAGGCAGUAUAAGAAGUCAUCUUCAUUCGUUCCAUUGAAUAUUAUUGCCCCCUUCGGAUAUUUUAGUUCCUUUGCAUAAUGGAUGGCUUCAUGAGUUUCUUCUUCAGAUAGCUUCUUCCCCGAAGCAUGUCGUAUCAUGUAAUCACGCGUGCUGGCAGGUGCUUCGGGGAUGGCGGUGUCAGUUUCUUCAACUAAUACUGGUUCUGGAAUUUUUAUUGCUUCGGCUUCAAAAGGUUGCUCCUUGUAGGGCUCUGAAGGCCCAGCUUCAGCUUCAGCUUGUUGAGCCGAAGCUUCAGUAGAAGCUUCAGCAACUUCAACACUCUUUUUUGGAAUUGUGCUUGAAGACUUAAUUGUCUCCAAGACGUCUAGUACAUUUACCAUUCUUUUCCUUUUUGGGGUCACUGAUGGCCCCUUUUGGUUUUUUGCUGUCCCAAUGAUUGCUGUAGGACUCAAAACUUCUGAUGUUUUGGAGCCCUCAGUUGCUUCUCUUACCUCCUCAAUUUUUUCUGUGAGCGGCGCUUCGGUUUUCUCUUUUGUUUCCGACAACAAAAUGUUUGAUUGUUCUGAUUCUAUCUUUGGUGGCACUUCGGCCGUUUCUGCGAUCUCUGGCAACAAGGCUGGCUCGAUUAGUUUUUCAGCUCCGGUGGCUGAAGAAGUUUUCCCGGUAAACUCCGACACCGAAGCUGGUUCAAUAUAACGCGGCCGUUGUGUAAGAACCUUUAUCUUUUUCCUUUUCGGUUCUGGCUCGCUAGGAGCAGCUGCAGCUUCUUCUUUUGCAGAGAUUGUGCUUUUUCUCUUCUGCCUUCGAAUGGGAUAGCAGUAAUCAGGGUAGACAAACCCAAUGGCAUCAAAUACCCGAUUCAGUCUCUUCUUUUUUCGGCCUCCGAAGGCUGCUGACAUUGCAUUAUCUUCAGCCUUCGAGUAGGUCCCGAGUAGCUCAUCACUUAAAUUGUCAAUGCUUUUCAACCACUCAUCAUCUGGCUCAAUAAAUUUAUCUCCAAAUUUGAAGGUGUACUUCAGUCUCACAAGCUCACCUUCGUCGGCCUUUUUUAUGGUUUCUUGUGGCAUUUCCCAUUUCUCAGCAAGCGGCCACACCCUGAAGGCGAUAUGUUCUUGUACUAAGUCCCUUGUUCCUAUAAAAGAGCAGACAACGCCGAAGGCUCUUUGGCACUCUUCGGCGGCUUCGUUCAUUUCAACCUUCGGCCUCCGAAGGCCGAAGCUUUGCCAAAUAGGACGCAUAAUUAUACCUUUGAUGUCUUCUCGUGCUGAUAAGUCAUUCUUCACAUAAAACCAUUCUGUCAUCCAAUCCCCGGGCCAUCUCUUCCGAAAGGUUGGUACGGGACAGCUUGCCCCGGACCGAGAAACGAAGCUGUAGCAGCCAAAGUUGUUAUGGUACUGUUCUUUGCCCCAAGGCUUUGUUUCAUAUAAUAAUUCAUGAACAUUACAAAAGCUUCUUGCGUCAGGCUUCAGACCUUGACUCCUCACGGCCCACACGAAGAUAUUUAGCCUUAUAAUUGCCUCGGGAGUAAGUUGAUGAAGAUAAACUUCGAAGAUUUUCAACACCUCCACGACGAAGCUGCUCAAGGGGAAUCGUAAUCCAGCUUUCAAAAAGCUUCGGUACACCACAACUUCAUUCUCUUCAGGGUGUGGACAAGUUUUUUCCCCUUCGUCCGCCCUCACAAUGGACAGAUCCCGGAAAUACCUUCCUCUCAUAUUAACAAGAUGAUUCUCUUUGAUAGUUGAUUUACCAUAAACUGAAUGGCUUGGUCGCCAGGGGCGAUCUUCGGAGUCUUCGCCACCGCUGUCCAUAUCAUAACUUUCACUGUCACCAGUAUCUUCAGACAGCCCCUCCAGAAUUUCCUUGGUAAUCUUUUCUGUGUUGGACUUCGACAUCGCUAUAAGAAACCCUAGGUUCUUCUCUUCAUCAAGACUCAGCUUCAUCUCAGCAGCAGCCUUCUUAGCAGCUUCAGACAUCUUCGGAAGCGCUAAAAAACUGUUUUUAAAAGCCGAAGCUUCAAAGCUAAAAACUUAGCAGAUCACAGUGCACAAGAGCUAAAAAAUGAGUGAGCAGGAGUGGUUGGCCAGAAAGCGUGCAAAAUAAGUUUGCGGUAUGGCCGUAUUUAUACGCUUGAUGCGUUGAAAGUUGAAAGACCCCACUUGUCAUUGAGUGUUGCUAUUCUAGCAAAGGGAAGGUGUUUUUUCGGACCUUCGGCAUAAAGCCUUCGUUCAUAUCGCAAUCUGAAUUUAUUAUUUCAAACAAAUUAAUAUUGCGAGGGGCUACUGUUGGGGGCCUUCGGCUUCCGAAGGUCCUCAAAAACAUGAUUUAACAAUGUUUCUGGAGUAUAAUGUGUGAACAGGUAUCUUCGGACUUGAAUCAGAAAGGGAGAAGCUCAAAAGAUACGAAGGUUGACACAGUGCCGAAGCUGUGAAGCAGGAAAGCUUCGGCAUGUUCGCAGAAAGGGGAACCGACUUAAAGAUGAAAAGGCCAUUUAGACCUCGAUAGAAUGCUAUAGAAUUAUCACCAAAUGUAAAGGGCAUGUAUGUAAUUUUGUAUGGGUUGUACCCCGUGCCUAUAAAUAGGUGAACAGUACCCCCGUACUGUUCACGCUGACUUGGCAUUUGCUUUUGCGUCACACUUGUAUUUUCAUCUCCUUCCAAGCCGAAGGUACAUUUAUAAUUCAAUAUUGUUUCUAUUUCUUUAUGAUGAGUUAAUAAAGUUAAAUGAAUAAUGUUAUAUGAUUAUUCACGCUAUCUUUUAUGUUUCAUAUGCUUCGUCUUUUACUAAUGUAUAUUAUAGUGAUGAAGGUUAAUCCUUCAUGACCUUCGUCCGGAGAUCGUUAUAUCCUAAGGGAAAUAAUGCUUCGAAGGACGAAGGAUCUUAAUGUUUAACAUUUUCUGUGUUGCCUUGUUCUUAACUCAUAGCAUUUGAGAACAAGUCCCCAACAAUUUUUAAUAGGGAAUAUUCUGUGUUGUCUAUUUUAUAAAUAUUUUCCCUUAUGUCUAGGUGUAUAUGUAGAUGCAAUUGUGGACAUUACUCCACAACCCAUCACACUCAAGCAAAAAUCCAAAUCAGACAAGUAUCAUAAGAACAAACAUUCAAGCAUACAAAAUAUUAAAAAAAGUUUUUAUUUUGUUCCUAAGAGUAGGUCUCCUAUCCCUAGAGGUCACUUUAGGUACAGGGAUUUCAAAGUGUGAAAUCCACAUUUGUCUUUAGAAAGAAAAGGUAAAAAUAAUCAGAGUAAAGCAGAAAUAGAUGAGAAAGAAUUAAGAUAAGUUUAGAAAGAAUCAGAGCAGCAGAGGUAAGUAAAUAAGGGUUGUCCAGUUCUAUUUAGGUUUCGUCCUACAGUCAACAUUCCUCUGAUACCACUUCUGUCACACCCGGAUUCUAGGGGUCCAAAACCCGGGCGCGAACAUAAACACCAGGUGUGCUAGGACCAAGUCUCACACAUAUGAUGAAUCAUGGCACAGGAUCGAAUGUCACAACUUUACUAUAUAAUAGGAGUUCUAUACAAAAUAAAUAAUUAAUUACAUUAUAAGGAGACAACGGUCCAGCAACCCAAAGUUGACUGGGAGACGACGACCUAGACCACUCACGAACAGCAUCCUCCAUGCGCCUCAUCAUGCGGUACCUGUUCUUGACCUGUGGGGGGGUGUGAGACAGCAAGAGUGAGCUCACAUACGUUCAUCGCUCAACAAGUUGUGGGGAAUAAUGUGCAUGAACUCGCCAAAGAUGGGAGCUCACGUGAAGUGUAAGGCUUACCAAAGAGGAUGGUUAGAGCUGAGCAUUGCUUUUAAAGUGGUCAAAAUUUUAUUAGCAGUUACUAAGUAUAAGUAAAUACCGACCCAAUUAAGUAGUAGAACAAAAGUAACAUCAUCACCUGCGAUGCAAUGCAUAUGACAAAUUGAAUUUAGUUCCAUAAAUUAAUCAUGUGAGGGUCCGAGCCGCUCAUGACCGUGAGCACGGCUAGUAUACCAGUUUUACACUCUGCAGAGGUUGCGCAUCUUUACCCACAAGUCAUGUUACCCAUCUGCCAAGGGAUCGCGACUUCCCAUACACCUCUACCGAGGAGGCGAGGCAGGGUAACACUACGAGGCCUUUACAAAGUUCCGCUAGCUUCAGAAAACCCGCUACAGUUUAUAGGAAGCUCCAAUGCAGGAAUCCCUUGCAGGACCGCCAUCGCAGCAAAAUCCUCCCGAGGGCCUCCCUACACUGACCACUCCCCUACUGCCCUUGCCCCUUUCGGGUAAGGUAGUCCUCCACUAGCUUUCCUAAUUAAUCAGCCAAGGGCGUCCCAUUAAACCCUUGUGGUAGCACUGUUUUCCCGGGUGGUCGCUCCAUGUUCCAAUUAACAUAAUGAUCUUAUCAUGAACAGUGAUAAUAAACAGAUAAUAAAAGUGUGAUCAUGAAUAAUGUAUCUUCAUACCCAAAACCACAUAAAGCACUAGCAAGUACUACCCAAAAAGUUCAGUGGUAAACAAGGUAUAAAGAUAAUCAAACUAGGGUAACCUAUUGGGUCCCAUCAAAAUUAACCUAUGCAGAUCAUUAUGAUUAAUCAGAACAUGAGUAGGUAAAAAGAAGUGAUCAAGGGCACAACUUGCCUGGGACUUGAGAUUCCAGGUACCAGGAUGAUCUUCAGAUGACUCGUGACCUCACGCUAGUUGUAGCAAUACAAACAAACAUUGUAUAGGCAAAAUUAACAUUACACCAAACAUAAGUACAAACUGCAUAAUAACGAUCUACGCGUUGCUACGAGACUAACGCAACUGGAACGAGUCAAAUCGGAUUUAAAACGGAGGAGAUACAAAUUUUCUAAGGUUUAGGUAUUUGAUACGAGAUUAAUUAAGAGAUCAAUUUUAUUAUUGUUUUCAUGUCAAAACAGAGGCAUUAGGUGAUAAACAACAUUAUUACAAAAUCAUAGCAAUUAAAAUGGAUUAAUUUGGACAUCAUAUGAAUUUUCUAUGAAUUAAACCAAUUCUUAGCAUUUAUUUCUACAUUAAAAAUCCAAUUCUAUAUUUGUUUUCUGAUUUUUCUGACUCUCUCGACUGGGCGCACUAAUACAGAGAAGUUCAGGGGCUAAGCCGCAAGAUUCCUAAGACUCAGCCCACAUCAGCUAUGGAUGGCGGGUUGAUUACUGCUUUCCUCGGGGUCUCUUUAGAAAAAUGCUCCGCGAAGGGGUAUGGAUCUAUCCUGGCUAUCCGAUUCAAGAUCUAUGGUCAAGAUUAGAUCCACGCUUUAUGAAAUCCCGCCCAGAUCUGGGCCUUACGAUCACAAUCUAACCGCCCGAACUCCUCGGUACGAAGGGGGACGCAAGAUUUAAUCUACCCCCUCCGCUUAUCAUCCUACGGUCCUGGUUUCUUUAUCCCGAUCCUCUUAAUCUCCGCCGUCCAUCGCGCGAUCAAGGGAUGCCCUGGCAUCUUCUUCCUCACCGGUUCUCUCUUCUACCCUUACACCGGCCAUGAAGCACGGUGGCCAGGGAACCCUCCGCGGCGGAUGCCCUGUCAAAGCACAAGCCUCGAUGCCCAAGCUCCCCAUGCAUUCCUCUCACACCGGCCAGUCAGUCCAAGGCGAUCGAGGCCACUAUAGCGCACUGACCAGCCGUAACCACCGUGCGAGCCCAAGUCUACCUGUGGCCGGCGAACCAGGGACGGGUAAAAGGACAACAUAGCGAAAGAUUCGCUUACCACUGAUGAGGUCGCGGCGACAUCCCGAUGACGGUCCACAAGUAACCCAUGUCUGUGCGUUGAGGCCCAGCCAUGGCGGCGCGCUGCACAGCGGCGAUUCCUCUGGUCGCUCCAUCCACGGCGUGAUCUGCAGCCCCCGAACUGGAUCCACGAGGAGGUUCAAGAGGAAAACAGAAGCAGCUGCCCCACCCGACCACGUGCACAGAACGACGGCGCGAGCGAAUUUGCAGAGCGGUGACGUUCAUCACCGAAUCGCCCUCAAUUUUCCCGUCUGGUGUUUUGGGCGAGGCGGCGAUGCUCCGGUUUGGUGGAGAACAGGGUGCGGCCAGGGCGGUUUAUAUACCCCGAGCCCCCGAACGCAUCAGAGACGGCCAUGGUCAGCUGGUGAUCCCGGUUUAUCGCAACAACCCGCCGCGGCUUCACGCUGAUUUCGGCGAGAGGUUGGAGCGGACAAAGUGGCCCCACCCGGUAGUGUUAGACGGCGUAUAGUGCGGCGAAGUGGAUGACGAGUGGACCCCCACCGUGAACCCGAGUCCGCGCGCGAGUCUGGAUCCGGAGAUCCCGCGAGUUUUGGUUUGGUUCUGUUACGGUGGAUCCGGUGGAGUCGGCUGCCACAGGUAGGAGAUGGUGCUGACCACGCGGGGCCCACACGGAAGUGUCCCAACAGAAAAAGCGAAGGGAGAGUAGCCGAAUGGGCUGGCGCGCGUUUGAGGGGGAAAGAAGGGGAUGGGCCACGGCGCGAGAAACGGCCCAAGUGCAGAGACGAGCUUCACCUUUUCUUUUCUAUUUUUUCCCUAUUUCUUUUCAAGUUUGUGCUUCAACAUCAAUUUAAAUUUAAGUUUCCUAUUUCAAGUCUCAAAUAUCCAAUUCAAAUUCAAAAACCUGUUUGAAUUUUUAUGAUCUCAAAUAUAAUUUUAAUGUAAAGAUAAAUCCUCCUUUCAUUUUUUUUGAGUCUCACAUUAUGUUUAGAACUUUAAAUGUCCAGUUUAGAUUUGAGUCAUCAAACUUCAAUACUAUCCUUAUGUGCCUAUACUCAUUUAAAUAAAUGCUUGUAAUGUUUUAUUUUUUUAAUAAAAUGAAUAAUCAUUCAGUUGGAUACUAAACCUUUCUACAUUCAUUCUUUGUUUCAAAAGCUCAGUCCUCAAAAUCCAAAGCUCAAGUAUAGAUUGAAGAUAUCUCACUAUACUAUUUUAUUUCUUUAUUUAUUUUAUUAUUAUUAUACCAAUUUUGGGCCUUACACUAGCUCUCCUCCGCUAGACACGUAGCACUCUGCUACACCUCCCAUUAUACACCUGGAUCCUCUCCUUACGCCUAUAAAAGGAAGGACCAGAGCCCUCUUACAGAGGGUUGGCCGCGCGGGGACGAGGACAAGACAGGCGCUCGCGUGAGGCCGCUCGCUCCCUCUCCCGUGUGGACGCUUGUAACCCCCUACUGCAAGCGCACCCGACCUGGUCGCGGGACGAACACGAAGGUCGCGGGAUUUCCACCUCUCUCACGCCCAUCUCCAGCCACCUCACUUCCCCCCUUCGCGCUCGGCCUCGCGCCGACCCAUCUGGGCUGGGGCACGCGGCGACAUUUCACUCGUCGGCUUAGGGACCCUCCGGUCUCGAAACGCCGACACAUAUAUAGAAGUUUGUAUUGCAAUAUAGUGGUGAAAUAACUAGAUUAAAAUAACAAAAUUUAUAUAUGACUAGGAUCACAAAUGGAUUACGAAACAUUUUCUUAUAACGGUAUAACACAUAUUUGCACAUGAGUUAUCGUGUUAUUAUAUGUUAUCAUGGUAUUAUAUGUUCCGUUGCAACGCACAGGCACUUCUCUAUUAUAUUAAUAUGUUUUCUCUAGGAAAUGUGUGGUUUUGACGAAGAAGCGAAGUCAUAUAAGGAUCCUAGCGCGAUAGAGUUGGUAAAAAUAUAAAAUAAUUGGCCUCAAAUGAAUUAUUACAUCACACUUUGCAAAUUUGUAAGUCAGAAUUCCCUUGAUCUAUAUAGUUAAAUAAAUUGUGCAAACAUAUAAUUCUAAUGUCUCAUGGUUUGCAGGUUCUUAUGCCAUGGAGAUACUCUAUAGGCUAUGUACUUUUCGUAUUAAUCAUGCAAACAAAUUUGUGUCUGUGUUUAAUUUCACACCUACUCCAGAAUGGUGCAAAGAUAUACCACUAAAAAGAUUUUGGGAAAUUAUUCUUCUUAUUUCAAAGAAAUAUAAGGUUACAUACGGUGUCAAACGUAUUGGAUGGUCACAUGACAUUUAUAUGUGGUGACAUUCAAUUCGACCUGAUGCUCCAAUCGAAUUAAAAGGGUAAUUACUUAAAAUUAUUAUGUCAUAUAUAUAUAUAUGUUAUGUUUAUAAUUUCAUAAUAUAACAAAGUUGGCAACUUUUUUAGUCUUAAUACUGGUCAUUUUGCUUUGCACAUUAUGGAGUGGUGGGACAGUGGUUUAAGAGCGCAACUUAGUAUGGUGAGAAUAAUAGCAUAUAUAUAAUUUGUAGUUAAGGAUAAUAUUACUUAUAACAUUUCUUUACAUGAUGGUGCGACUCUGCGUAGGAAUUUAUUUAUUGAUCUGUUGACAUACGAGAGGAACACAUCGAUUUAACAAUCCUGAAAAUAUACAAGAGUACCUUGAUCGUAUUAUGGAAAAAAAACUAGAUGAAAUAGAUAGUUAUGCUUAUGUUUAUUUUAUAUUUAUUGAUUUUGAAUUUUUGCCAUUAAAUCUUCUUGUUAAAUUUUAUACAAUACACUAUUAGAUGAGUGUCCGUGCGUUACAUGCCUGAGUUUCUCUUUGAUAUCAUUCCGGAUGGCUUGUGGAUAUUGUCAUCCAUCUCAUAAUCGUAUAACACAUAUUUGUAUAUAUAAGUUAUCGAGAUAUUAUAUAUUCCAGAUGCAAUGUACGGACACUGACCUAUCUUAUAUAAUACACUAGGUGAGUGCCCGUGCGUCACAGGCCCGAGUUUCUCUUCGAUGUCAUCUCGGACAGCUCGUAUAUGUCAUCCUUUAUCUCAUAAUUAUAUAACACAUAUGUGUAUAUAUAAGUUAUCGAGAUAUUAUAUGUCCUGUUGCAAGGCACGGGUACUGACCUAGUUAUUAUUUAUAAACCUAGUCACUUUUCAUACGUAGAGGCGGAACCAUGAUAAGAAAAAAAACAGAGUAGAGGACACGUAACCAUUUGUAGUUCUAUUCUAUCUCAGAAUCCUCGAUCAUUCAUCGCCAUCAGUCUCCUGCUCUGAUCCUCUCUUCUUCUUCCUCCCCAAGUUGGUUGCUCUGUUCCAGUUUCAUUCUUCCUUCCCAAGCUGGUUGCUCUGUUCACAGUGCUAUAAGUAGAUGGGCACCUGCAUCGCACACGUCCACUCCAACUCCAACUCUCCUCAAGCCCGCAGUACGUGGCCAAGCAGACAGCAAAGCCAAACCUUCCGCGCAACGCCAAGAGCAACCACCACUUAGCGAUGGAGAGCAGCAGCGCCAGCAACGAGGAGGUGACGGCUGUCCCGGCCUCGUGGAACUUCGAGCCGAACGAGACCCUGCUGGGCCUGAUGGCGCUCUCGGUGCGCGGCGUGCUGGCCAGGAUCAAGGCCGAGAUGGUUGCCGGCGGCGGCGGCGGGAGGCCGGUGAUCCCGAUGGGCCACGGCGACCCGUCGGCGUUCCCGUGCUUCCGGACGGCGCCGGAAGCCGUGGACGCCGUCGCCGGCGCUCUCCAGUCCGGCGAGUACAACUCCUACUCCACUUGCGUCGGCCUUGAGCCCGCACGGAGGUGACUUGUUAUUUCUAGACUGCAUGAUGCUGAACUAACAUGAUGCGUAAACUGGUGUCGGCAUUUUUUUUUGAAAGGGAGAGGCAAAAGACUUGCCACUCCAAUAUAUUAGAAGGAGUAGAACUAACAGGAAAUUACAAGAAACCAAGACGACUUACAAGACUAGAAGCGAACUCCUGAACAAAUUUACUAAGCGGACCUACUAGCCAGCCGGGCCAUGGAAACAACUAACUAACUCUUUGACCACUAGCGCGACCUGCUCCGCUGAUCUAAGCUGACUGUGAAAGAUUCUAUUGUUCCUCUCUAACCAAAUGCUCCAUAAAAAAUAAAUGAUAAGGCCAUCAAAGGAUCUUCUCGAAGGCUUGUUGCACCUACUUCUCAAAUUUCUCCACCAGUCGUACAACGAAUCAAAGCCAUAGAUCCCCUUAAAGGACAAAAGAUUCGACCAAGACAAGAUUCUGUCCCACACCUCCCUGCUGAAGGGGCAGUCCUUGUAGAGAUGAACCGUCGUUUCAAAGGUCGAAUUACAGAGACAACAAGAAGGAUUGUGAGGCCAUCCCCUUUUCUGAAGGUUCUCUGCUGUCAACACUCUGUUAUGUAAAAGAGUCCAAGCGAAGAAGCGACACUUGGGUUCAGUUUUUGCUUUCCAAAUGGAACAGAUUUUCAUUAUGCAGAAGUUUGUUGAGAACUGAAUGUUAUAUGCGCUGCUUGCACUGUACUGACCAUCAGUCGUCCAUCUCCAAGAGAUGGAAUCCUCCAAGUUAUUAAGUUCUUGCAUGCUACUGAUAGCCUGCCAUAGGGUUACAAAAUCUUUUAUUUCGUCUUCUCGUAUGCAUGGCAGACAUAGCUGAAUCCAGCUAUUGGCUCUAAGAGCAUGAAAAACUGAGAUAUUCUUCUUCCUUGCUUUCUUGAAUAGAAUUGGUGCUAUAUUCUUAGGCGCCUGACCAUGGAUCCAACUAGAUUUCCAAAAACUUGUUGUUCUCCCAUUACCAACGUUGACCACUGUGGAUGCAUUGAAAAGUUCUUCAUCUAUUUUGUCGCAUGGCGAUUGCAAACCAAUCCACGCCUUAUCCCUGUUCUUCCAACGCAUCCACAGCCAUCUGAUUCUUAAAGCCCUUGCGAAGCGUUCUAGGUUCAGAAUGCCCAGUCCCCCCUUGUUCUUUGGCUGACAUGUUGUAGACCAGUUGAUCAAACAGUGACCUCCACUGCAAGCUUCAGGGUUGUUUCCUUUCCAAAGAAAGCCUCUUCUUAUCUUAUCAAUUUUCUUUAGCAGCCAUUUUUGAACUGGAAAAACCGUAAGAUGAUAAAUCGGUUGGGCUGUUAAUAAUGAUUUAACCAAUGUUUCUCUGCCUGCUUUAGAGAGUAGUCUGCCUUUCCAACCGGCCAGUCUGUUGUUGAUUUUUUCCAGUAGCGGUUGCAAGGAGAUCUUUUUAAUCUUCCUAAAGUGGAGGGGAAGACCAAUAUACUUUCCAGGUAAGUUAGCAUAUUUACCCGGGAACACUUCGGCAAGAUUUGACCAAAGCGACUGAGGAUAACGAACUGGAAAGAUUUCUGUUUUAUCAAAAUUUAUCUUUAGCUCUGAACAACCUUCAAAGACUUCCAGAAUCGUUUUGAGAACUUUGAGGUCCGACUUGUCUGCUCUUACAAACACCCCAGCAUCAUCUGCAUAUAGGGAACAACGAAGCUUUGCCCCUUUAGGCAGGACGCUUCCCAAUAGCCCAGCCUGAGCCGCCUUAUCGAUCAUACGCUGGAGAGGGUCCAUUGCUAAAAUGAAAAGAAAUGGAGAAAGGGGGUCCCCUUGUCGUACACCACGCCUGUGUUUAAUUCUAUUUGUCGGCUCUCCAUUUAUUAUUAUUUUGGAGGAAGAUGAGCCCAGAAUUAGAGCGAUCCAGUCUCGCCUCCUUUGGGAGAAACCAAGGGCCUUUAACACAUCAAGGAGAUAAGCCCAAUUUAUGGAGUCGAAGGCUUUGGAGAUGUCAAGCUUGAUGAAAAGCGCAGGCUGACCCCUCUUGUGCAUCUUCAUAAUCACCCUUUGAACGUAUAAGAAGUUAUCAUGAAUUGAUCGCUUUUGGAUGAAGGCAUUUUGGGCAACAGAUACAAUUUCAUUCAUGCGCGGUGCCAGUCUGUUUGCCAAAAUUUUGGUGACGAUCUUUAUAAAGCUGUUUAUUAGACUAAUAGGUCUAAACUUAUCGAUGCUACCCGAGACCUCUUUUUUGGGAGUAGAACAACACUUGCUUCAUUAACUAGGUGGAGGUUUUUACAUCUAAAAUUGUAGAAAUCGUUAAUUGCAGUAGUGAGGUCUUCUUUAACCAAGGUCCAGCAACAUUUAUAGAAAAGGCCAAUGAAACCAUCCGGGCCAGGAGCUUUUUCUGAAUGUAAACUCAUGACCACAUUCUUGAUCUCCGACUCUUGCAUCACGAUGUCGAGCCCACCUAACGAAAAGGGGGAAUAAUCUAGAGCGGCCCACUGAACUACCUUAUGUCUCAUUCCAGUCUCUCCAAGAAUCUCCUUGAAAUGCUGAUGAGCCUCUUGCAUUUUGUCUUGUUGGCUAGACAAUAAAGUACCAUUCCGAAGGAGAGAUCUGAUAUAGUUCUUCUUUCUCCUAUUGUUGGCUACCAGGUGAAAGAAUUUCGUGUUUGCGUCUCCCAUACGCAUCCAUAACUGUCUGGAGUGUUGUCUCGCAGUUGCUUUUUGAAUGGAAGCAAGACCAAGAAUUUUGAUUUUCAGUCUUCUCCUGAACUCCAAUUCAUCGUUGGAGAGCUGUCUAUUUUCUUGCGCCUUCUCUAGGUGAGUAAGAGUGAUCUGGAUAAUUGCCAGGCGGAUCUUGAUGCUCCCUACUGUUUUGCGUCUCCACAUACUAAGGGCCUUAGCUGUGCGUGACAUCUUGACAUGCAGCCUCAGAAUGGCAUCUUCAGAGUUAACAUCAGUAGACCAAGCUCGAUUAACCACCUCCUUGAAAUCGUCCAACUUUGUCCAGAACGAUUCAAAUCUGAAGCCUUUGAAGAAACGAAAUUGUGAACGACCUUGCAUAAUAAUUGGGCAGUGGUCUGAAGUCAUAGUGCAAAGGGACGGCAGAUCUGCCGAUGGGAAGAGCCCAUGCCAUUGAGUUGUCCCAAAGAAUCUAUCUAUCCUGGUCAUUGUAGGGUCCACUUGUUCAUUUGACCAAGUAAAGGCUCUAUCAUUGAGCUCAAGCUCUAACAGAUGCAAAUCAUCAAUUGUAUUGUUGAACUGACUCAUAAUUCUUCUAUUGAUUGAUCCUUUAUUUUUUUCUCUUGCUCUCCUUAUCAUGUUGAAGUCUCCCAGGAUCGCCCAUUCCGGACGCAUCACAUUUUGGAUGUUUCGGAGCUCUGACAGAAAGCUCAUUUUUUCAGUUUCUGGCUGGGGGCCGUAAACCCCCGUGAGGUCCCAGACCUCAUCCUCCACUCUCGAGCUAAUCCUAACCGAGAUCGAGUAGGUUGAAGCGCAUGGAAUGAGGUCCAUCUCGAACAAAUCUGCGUCAGAGGCCAAAAGAAUUCCACCAGAGGCACCCUGCGAAGGGAGCUGAACUGUCUGGCAAGCCAGCUUGCAUCCCACGGUUUCUUUCAGUAAGUCAUUGGUCCAGUUCAUGAUUUUUGUCUCUUGGAGACAAACUAUGGUUGCACCUGAGGACAGAAUUGUUUGUUUCACACUUGCACGUUUGGCCGGAUCAUUUAAACCCCUCACAUUCCAAGAGAAAAUAGUGCAGUUGGAACACAUUUAACUGGAAUUACCACUUCCACUUGAUAGACUAGAAGUACCAGGGACAGAACCGCAGACAGACACGGACUGCAACCAAACACCUAACAACUCCCAACACAGACAACACAGAUUACAGACAUAUAGCACUCCCCACACAAGCAGAUUGGAGGACAGCCGACACAAAAGCACAGGACGCCCAGGCCAAAACAGCCAUGACCACGCCACUUCAAUUGGAACAGCUACAGAUAGAACUAAAACACCCCACUGAGGGAACCAGGAACACCAGAUCGCAUGCAUCAUAAGAAGAAAACUGCCACCGCGAAGAGAUCUCAGGCAUCCCCCACAACCCUGAUGGUUGGGGAAGCAAUGGGAGCCACCUUGUGUCCCCUCCUGUUAUGCCCUGUCUUCUCUAUCCCUUGAUUGACCAAUUCCAUGAUUGCCUCCAUCUGCUCUUUGGUUAGUGGCCUUGAGAAAAGGCGAGCAAUCUGUUCAAAAGAAUUAUCUUGGUUAGAGGAACAUGAAGCAGUAGAGAUUUGGUUUUGUUUUUGAUUUGUUGCAGUAUUAUUGAGCUUAGCUAUCAGGAUGUCCUGGGCUUUGGAUAUUGCAUCCCUGGAACGCCCCAUCAUAAUCUUUUUCUUGGCAGCUAGUCUAAUACUGGAUCUCUUUGUGAAGGUAGGAGUCUGAUUAUACAAUACAGAAGGAGAUUCAGUGGAUUGUCCCAUUAAUGCACUAAAACUGUCUGGGGUAUCAAUAGGAGGUGGAUGGAUUAGCGGUUGUUCUUUUGGUAAAGCAAUAUGUGCAACAAAUUCUUGUAGCUGUGCAUCAGAGCAGUCCCCCUGCUUGUGCGCGGAUGGCUGACCGACUAGGAGUGGUUCAUUGAUAUGAACUGCGUAAGAAGUGAGACCAUCCUGAUUAUGUUGAUUACAGCGUUGUUCUGUGGUUAAAUCGCAGCCAUCCAGGAUAGGAUCUACACUUGCUACCCCAUGAGUUGGCCUUUGUGAUUGGGUUGACCUUAGUGCUUCUUGAAUCAAUGGGUCAUUGGACAACAUACUAAAAUUCUGGCCUGGGUUGUAAUUAGAUUCAGUUCCCCUUUCUACACUGGCAGGACGAUGAACAUCAACAGAAAGUGGGGCAGCCAGAGGAGGUACCUUGGGAGAUGCAGAUGCCUGGGACAGGAGCGAAUCAAUGUUGUUAUCGCGGCCGUGAAUGGUAUUGGUAUGACUAACAAUUUUUUUUUGUUGGGCUGGUGCUGUGGAUAAGGAUGCGUUCUGAAUGGGGGCCGAAUUCGCAUACCACUAUCUACUACCCCUACAUUUAAUUCAAAUCUUAAUAUGGAUAUGAAUAUUAUAGUACGAUAAUACCAAAAAUGGAUAUCUCAAGCUCAGAUUCUCAUUUGGAUAUGUAGUUAAUUUUCAAAAUCAAUAAAACUAUAGAUAAAUAUUUAUCAAUAAACAAAUUAAACAUAGAAAAAUAAUGUCAUCAAAAUAAGAAUAAUUGACGUAGUUAAAUCGAAUUUGGAUAGAGAGAGGGGAAAAAUCAUAAAAAACGAAUUGGGAUACACCUGUGUAGUAUGCAUAUUAGAAUCAGAUAUGAAUAUAGUUAUCCAUAUUGACGUUGAAAUGGAUUACUAACUAAUACCAGAUUUUUCAAGCAUCUGGAUUAUGGCAGCACUGGAAAGGCCCUUUGAAUUCCCCGUCUUAUUUCUGAUGUCGACAUGAGUUUAAUAGCCAGUUCAAGUUAACACAGUGUUCUGUUUGGGAAUCACUGAACCUUACAUAUAUAGUUACGUCUUCCAAAGUUGUCUUGGUCAGCUUGCUCUGAAAGCAACUAAUAUCAAACGAGGGGAAAUAUUGCUUUCCACCUUGAUCAUGUUCCAGCUAUAAAAUUCACUUUCUUGGAUUGUGAUCAGUCAUGUCAUCAUGUUUUCCUGAUAUAAGAAACAGUAACUGAAUCCUGCACCUGUGCUAUGUGUUCAGCUUCCUGACACCUAGGAGUUACAAUGAAUUUAUUUCCUGACAGGCAUUUAAGCCUGUUUGGAAGCAUCCAGUUUAUAAGAAACUGGUUUAUAGAAACUAGAGUGGUUUCAAAUGCACCAGUUUAUGUUCUAUUUUAUAGAAACUAGAUUUUCAGUUUUUCAAUAACCAAGAAACUGACCUUCCUAGCUAAAACCAUUUUUUCCAUUUAAUUAUAUCAUAUUCUUGCUGAUUCCAUUUUUCUAUUAUACUACCUCCGUUUACGAAUAUUUGUUCGUCUGUUAAUUUAUUUUAAACUAAACCGUGACAAAUAAAAAAGAAGUACAUCUUUGUUCUUCACAACUCUAGACUCUCAGUUAUCUUACGGCGGUCCAAAACCCGCAAACUGCAGGUCCGUCGCGCGGUACUUAUCCCGUGACUUGCCAUACGAGCUGUCGCCCGACGACGUCUACCUGACGAACGGCGGCGCUCAGGCGAUCGAGAUAGUGUGCUCCGCGCUGGCUCGUCCGGGCGCCAACAUCUUGCUCCCUAGGCCCGGCUACAAGCUCUACGAGGCGCGCGCCGUGUUCAGCGGGAUGGAGGCCCGGUACUUCGACCUUGUACCCGGCGAAGGCUGGGAGGUCGACACCGACAGUGUCCGAGCUCUCGCCGACAAGAACACGGUUGCCGUCGUCAUCAUCAACCCCGGGAACCCGUGCGGUAACGUCUACUCCUACGAGCACCUGGCCAAGGCAAGCGCGCGCUACUUCUGGCUGGCUCUGGGGUUGGUUUAUGGCUUAGUUGACUGACUGCUUUGGGGGUGUAGUCUGUAAGUCUGAAUGCCUGCUUGUGCUGUGUUUCUUAGGUUGCUGAGACUGCGCGGAAGCUCGGCGUGUUUGUCGUAGCGGACGAGGCUUACGCGCACUUGACGUUUGGAGAGAGGAGGUUCGUGCCGAUGGGCGUGUUUGGGGCCGUGGCUCCGGUCAUCACGCUGGGGUCCAUUUCGAAGAGGUGGCUGGUGCCCGGCUGGCGGCUCGGGUGGAUCGCUACCAGUGACCCUAGUGGCGUGUUUCAGAGAACCAAGGUUCUUGAUUUACUUCUUCUUCUUCUUCAUUCAAAAUGCAGUCAUGAGAUGAUGUUUCUUGUUUUUCAGGUAGCCAGCAGCAUCAAGACCUACCAUUACAUCUGCUCUGACCCUACGACGUUUGUUCAGGUGACUACUAUACAACCGUGUGUGCAGUGCACGCACACUCUUUCCAUGUCUGUCUAGCUAAACGAGAUCUGUUUCUGUUCGUUCGUUAGGGAGCGGUUCCAAACCUCCUGGAGAACACAAGCGAGGAGUUCUUCCGAAGAAACAUCAGAACUCUAAAAGAAAGCGCGGACAUGUGCUGGGAGAAGCUGAAGGGCGUCAACGGGAUCGCAUGCCCAAGCAGACCGAUGGGGUCCAUGUUCGUAAUGGUACACACUCUUCCAUUCCAUGUCGCUGCCAUGCUCAUGCAUGAACAGCGAGCGAUCCGCUAACAUACAGGCUGGUGUACGUGGGUGUUCCGUUGGCUUGCACUUGCUGCAGGUGAAACUGGACCUGUCCUGCCUGCAGGGGAUCGAAGACGACAUGGACUUCUGCUGCCGGCUGGCCAAGGAAGAAUCAGUGGUUGUUCUGCCAGGUGCUCUGCUGCUAGCUGUUCUCCUGAAUACGUAGACUAGUUUUGUAUAUAGCUCCUGGAGGCAGAUCGGAUCGGUUCAUCUGUUCAGCUUCAGCACAAGUCGUUGUUGCAUCCACCUUGAUUGAGAUCACCUUCUUCUUCUUAUUUUUGAGAUGGAAUGUGUGACAUGGCGGAAACAAAUUGCGUGCAGGGCGUGUUGUGGGAUGCGAGGACUGGCUCCGGAUCACCUUCGCCAUCGAUCCGUCCUCUCUCGAAGACGGCCUGGACAGGCUCAGGUCCUUCUGCUCGCGACACAGCAAGCCGGCGGCACAGGGUUCUGCUGCCUCUGUAGUCUAGUAGUGUCUGUUAGAGGAUCUGAAGCGUGUCCAGGACUCCACGUCUUGGAAACAAUGAAGUUUGGGUCAAUAUGAGAACGUAAUAAUAAAGUUGAUUCAGACAAAUGUAAGGGCCCUUGUUUCGUGCAGAUCGCGUUCAAACAUAGAAUUGGAUCUUGAUUCUGUCUGGAUCUAUCAGAAUUUUCUGACUGUCUUACAAAAGUUGGUUUAUAAGACCGAUCAUCCAAAACACUGUUUUAUACGUUUUACUAGGUGAGUGCCCGUACGUUGCAACGGAGACACAUAAUAUAACGAUAACUUAUGUACAAAUGUGUAUUAUACUGUUAUGAAAUGAAGCACGACGUCCGCGAGUCGUUCGAGAUGGUGUCGAAGCGAAACUCGGGCUACAGUCGAGUGCACCGACCCCACGGCGGUGAGGCCACCCGUCUGCAAGGCGCGUGAGGUUGAGGGCGAGGGGGUAGUUUCAAGGAGGGAAUAAUCUCCAUAGGACGACAAUGGAGUGGCGGCGCAUGGUCACAAGGACCUUGGUGACGGCGGCGUGCAGUCGAUAAGGUACGCGUGGGUGCCAACGAAGGGAUUGCACAGCGACCGACAAAGACGGAGCUCCGCGAUGUGGCGGGGGAGGGAGGGAGAGGCAGAGGUGCACAAAUUAUUCGAUAAAAUGUUAGUGCAUUACAUGAAUACAAGCAACACAUAAAAAUAAAUCGUACAAUAAUUUGCAUAGCAUGCUACUAAUUCUCAGCUUGAGGCAUAGUUGGAAUAAGAAAAAUGCUACAAUAUAUACUUUUAGAAGUACGAACCAAAACAUGUAAUGGGAAGAACUCAUACAUGCCAAGUGUUCUGUUGUGCUACUGAGCAGCAGCAUCGUUGCCACACUAUGAAAUAAUAUCAAGUACCAAACACGAUCGUGCACAUCAAAUAUGAAAUGCAUGAUAAGCUUUAACUAACUUCAGUUUGAUUCCACUCGAAACAAAUGAGGUAACAAUUCUGAAAAAUUCUGAUAUGCUACAUCUAGAUUAUCUCAGUCCCAUGCUCGUACUAACCCGUGGUGAGGAGAACAAAUGCGUGUUCGGAGAGCGCAUGCUUGUGCUUAUUCCUAGAGCUAUGGACAUCGCACCAUCUGUAGUGCAUACUAAAACAGAAUCUUUGCUAGUUCCUGCAUCAGGAAAGCACAUCAUGAUAUAUAUACCCAAUCAGUAACCUUUAGAAAUAGAGAGGACGCCUAGACUGUCAACACAUUUACCUGCUUGCCGGAUGGAACAGUGCACUGCACUCUAGAACCUUCUUUUUUAGCAUCUCAAAGUCUCCUUUCCCAUCCUAUUUAUAGAGCCAUAAAGCAAUGUUACCACAUACACAAAUUCGAAUCCAAUUCUUCGCAAUCAAGAAAUCAAACUCCAAACUUGAAAGUGACGUACCUCGAUCAAGGCACCAAUCUCACUAUCAAAACUCUGGUACCGCUUUGCGGAAAAGAUCAUCUAGGGAACCAUCCCAACAUCACAGAACAACACUUCCAGUUUAAAAACCUUUGCAUGGGAAAAGUUUAGUGGGUCUUAAUGUUUUUUCAGUUACCUCAAUCAGCUUGACAACGUUGUGGAGGCCACAGGCCAGAGUGUCCAUUCCAAAGAUAUGAGCAAGAAACAUGUCCUCAACAUUAGUACUUUCCCUUCGCCUGUUACCACAAUAGAAUCCUAUGUUGGUUCAAUUCCAUUUUUUGCACAACAGGAAACAUUUGACAAUAGUACUCACAAUUGCAAAAAACUUCUCUAGCGGUGCAGGCGUGUCCUUGAGCUCCAUCCCUUGGUAAUGGAUGCCCUUCGAAAUGUAUGAAGCAAACAUAGUCCAUUGAAUUUAUGGUCCUUUUAAUACCAGUAAUUCAUGACUGAUAACAUAAUACAUGAGUUGUUGGCUCAAACAAACAUGUAAAAGAAAACGAUCGGUACUUAACCUGUGAAUUCUGGUAGCCAUCAAUUUCAUUUCAAUAUCUUCUUGCAUCUGAUCUGUUCUGGUCAAAACUCGAUUUCUCAUAGAAAUGCGCUCUACAAUUGUAUUAACCAUGCCCAGUUUAUCAAAAUAUAUACCAUCGUCAAUGCAAAAAACUUUCUUCCCUAAUUUAUUUCUUAGAUGUAGACACUGUUAAAACACAAUAAAAAACUUUCUUCCCUAAUUUAUUUCUCAGAUGUAGACAUGAUUAAAACACAAUAAAAAACUUUGUUCCCUAAUUUAUUUCUCAUAUAUAGACACAAUUAAAACACAAUAAGGAGUUACAUCAGAAAUAUGAAGUUUAGGAGAGUUUGUUUGCUGGCUCCUUUUUAUCUUCUUGAACAUACUGCUAAAUGUGGGUGACAGCUUAUCAUAAUCAUAAGUUCUAGGGUUACACUCAACAAACUCAUGUCAGUCACAGGUGAGUUGGCUGUACAGUCAUCUAGUGGAGCAAUCUUGCUUACCGUAUCAAAAGUACGACCAACAUAUCUAACAUGAACAUCUGGAUCCAGCAUAGAGAGAAGUAUAGAAAUUCUGACAAGUGUAAAUUACGGGCCUCUUCUCUAGGUUUUUUGCAGCACAAAAAUUGCAGGUGUAAGUUCAUGGCAUGUAACAACUAUAUUACAUGGCUACUGAUAGAAUUUAGAGAAAGCACACAUUGAUUCAGUGUCGACUUUUUUGGUGUGGUGUUCGGUUUUUCACUGAAGUUUGGAUUGCUUUCCCCAAAUCAAAUAAACUAAAGAAUAAAUGAAGCAAGUAGAAGAAAUCCCAAAUCAAGCAGAGUAAAGAAGGAAGCAAAUUGAUGCCGUUACCGCACGCAGCACACCUCGCAUGGCUGCUGCCUCCCUGGCUCUUUGCAUGCCCGCACUGCUGCUGCCUGUACCUCGCCUCUCGCCCACGCUGCUCGUCCACAUGGCCGGCACUUCUGCCCCUUGCUGCUCACCUGACACCCGCCAUGCGCGGCCCCGCUUACAGACCUAGUAUGUCGUCGCAUGGAGAAACGAAACAAAUGGAGAAGUCACAGGCUGAGGGAAUUCUGUAUUUCUGUGAGUCUCACGUGAUGCUAGCUAGCUAUAAACAUACUUUAUGAGCUCCCAAAGCCUAGUAUCAGCUUCAACCUUAAGGGAAUCCUUAUUCAUGAACAGCGACGCGACGUUCUUCAAUAUCAAGCUGAAUGUGCACACCUACAGAGUGAUUACAUCAAACACCUGGAGCACCAAAAAUAAACCAGCCGAUAGCUAUGCAAGUGAAAGUAAAAAAAACCCCACAACCUCAAUGCCAGUCCCCAACAAAAAAGGGUUGCAUCCCAGCCAGGAAUCCUUACUGACUAUUAUUUAACAAAAGAAAGGAACAUUACUAUACUUUUCAAAUUUUGGUACUAUGCAUUCAUUAUAUUGGUCAGCUAAAAAUUACAUUGUCCCCAAGAAAACACCAGACAUGAUAUGCAAUUUACGUGAAUUGAUGCCUAUACAGAAAUCAUGUUCAGUGGAAUUUGUGGAAACAUUUACUCUGUUCGUCCUGUUUGGUUAGAACUCAAAAGCAACUAAUGCUACUGCUAGUGCGCCAAAACAGUUUGAAGCUAUUCACACUCUUGAAACUUCAUAAAAAGGUUGCAACGUGCAAGUCAUCAGUCCAAUAAGACAAUAGCUUACCCUGUGUUGCAUGCUUCACUUAACAUACUUAUCGAGUCUGCUGUUAUGAUAAUAGCAUCAGCCCAUGCAAGAUGUCCCUUGUUAGGUUUAGGUUCUGCAGAAGUAAAAAUAGUUGCUAGUUCAACAAGUUGAGCAAAAAGCAUAAAUACUGAACAACUUAAUGCUAGUCUUCAUAUUGUACCUUCACCAUUCCAAAUAUAGACCUUGGGAUGUCAAGCAAAUUCAUUAAAUACAAUAUCGGUGACCUGCAAACAUAUAGUUAAACUAUCAAGCCUACCAACCUGUACUAUAGAACAAAUUGCCAAAUUCCAUACCUUCCAUGGUGUUCUUAGAAAGAAUGAGAUUCUGACACUCCCACAACUAUCUAGCACGUAAAAAUUUCUAUGUUCCCAUUUUCUAGCCAAGGCCCUUAAUUCAUACCAUGCAUUGACAGGUGGAAUUGGAAUACCUGGUUUCUGAUAGCAAUUGCUUUUGUGAAGUCCAAUUCAAGUGGGUUAAUCACCCAGAGUUAGAGGUGGUGAAAUCGUAUUCGAUUCAAAUGGCUUCCAGUUUUCCCCCUACAUGAUGUAUAAACAGAACAAAUUCGAAGGAGAUGAGAAAGAUCAUAGAUGAACCAAUCUACAAAAUCAUAUGAUAUUUGCAAUGACCAGUUUAAAAACUCUUAAUCCAGUAGAGCAUGAUUAAUUGAGUUGCAAGUAAAAGGUACACUAAAAUAUCAAAUAAACAGAACUAUUGCAGGUUGCUGUCAGGUGAGCCCAUGUAGAAAAUCUUCACUGCGGAGUGGUUAAGAGGGUGUGGAUCUUGUGCACUUAUAGUGAUGGUUCUGUCACCAACUCUGCCAUCGAAGAGAACUCCCCACCCAUGGAUGUCGUCCAUCAGGCUCUUGGUCAUCCAUAGGAUAGUGAGAUCCUAUAAGAAUUCUCCAAUCGUUCGAGUGAGAUUCAUGUUAUCCAAAGCUUGAAUUGGCAAGAAAAUCACAAAUGCAUGCAACUUACCCUGAAGACUGCCAAAACCAUCUUCUCUGUAAAUGUCAUCGAACAUUUUAGUCUGUCACAAAUAUAUCAAGAUGGAGACCCAUCAGAAAACUGGAAUAAAUGACAUGCGACAUGAAACCAACUUUGGUUGCCAACGCAAAUGCUAUAAAGAAUCAUAGAAGGUUUAUAAAGCAAUAAUAAUGCAACAACUAAUCACAUCCACCCAUGGACCACAAGAGAAUCAAGUGUUGGUAGGUUUGGCGUUAAUCUGCUCCCAAUAAUUUGCAAGCCCAACGGCCUGAUUUAUAGCAGCGGAUGAGAUCCAUUUUAGGGCCUCAUCGUUUUCAACCCAAUUCAUAUAAUCUAUAUAAAUUAAAGGAGAUUGAUAGGUUUAAAUCCGUUAAAAACCUUCAUAAUUUUUCUCAACCCCAUCUCCAAUUAUAAGGAUUAGGAAUAACACAACAGUGCCUAUUCAUCAUGAACAGUAUGUGCAUGUAUCCCUCAGUUCGCUAUCAAUUUUUCUGACAUCGAAUCUCCAGACACCGAAGGUCCCUGGAAAAAAUGGUCUAUCGUUUUACUAAGAAUAUGCAUUUGUUAUACCUGAUGAUCACAUCAAAGCGCUAGAAAAAUAUUGAGAGGGAUGGGGGCAGACAAGUACGAUGCAGUAUAUUCUACGGUGAAAAAAGUGCACGUGCCAGCCUCCGGCGACUUUGACGGGCGAUCAAUCAAAGCUUAGAAGGUGGCUUUCUUGAGCGAGGUGAUGGUCACCGAUGACCCCAGCGCGGAGGCACCGACCUGGAUGUCAAAGGAGUCGUAGCGGAGGAAGAGCUCGGCGACGAGGAGGCGAGCGAUGAGCACGACGAAGUCCUUGCCAGCGCACUGCUUGUCCUGCAGCGUGGGAGACACAAGUGGUGAGGGGCUGCCGGUGACCAUCACUAUACUGGGGCUGCCUUCUAUUUCGUGAGAAGAAAUAUGGUAGGUCAACGAUGAGCAAACCCACAACGAAAAUUAUAUGACCCACAACAGAAAUGUAGAGGAUGAAAUAUUUUAGAGAGACUAUAAAGGACGGGAAAUAUUCAUUUACGGGAUGAAAUUUAAAGGAUGUUGCUGAAGAUAGACUUAGACUGUCUUCAGUGCCCCCCUAUAUCCCACUUUUUACGCCACAUCAGCAGUCUCGCUCUCUCCUUAUAUCUUCGCCCUCCGUAGGACCAUCCCAAUAAAAUAUACAUUUCCUCUUAGCUACCACAACUACCACUCAUUUUAUUUUAUUUUUGUUUUCCAAAAGAAAAACCAUACAUGCAGUUGGGAUUAAAUUAUUAAGCUUAAAAGUAUUAAUAAACACGCAUUAGAUAAUCGAGUCUUAUUAGAAAUAGUACUAAUUCAUUCGUAUUCGAUAAUAUCAAACAAAUUAAUAUGGAUGAAGACAUAACCAUCAAAGUAUUAUAGACAUUAACUAAUCAAUAACAGAAACAAUUUCAAAGAAUAAUACAAAACACAUUGACCUUCAUUGUUCAAACUGUCGCUAAGCAUUUGUAGAACACAACAAUACAUUUUUAUAUUCGUUUGUAAUGGUUGUAUGUUCGUAAAUACUAACAAGAAAGUGAAAAAUGAAGACUUUACAGUUUUCCUUGCAUUAGAAAAAGAAACAUGAGUUCACCAUAUAAUCGUUGUGAAUUUCCAUAUUCACACGUUACUGAUAGAACCCAGGUACUCCAAUGGUUUUAUUGGUACUGAAUCCAUGGAUUGCGUCAAACUGAAAACAACAGGGAAGAACAAUACUAUGUUAAUCACUUCAUAUUGUAUAGGUGUUGCACUCAGGUUAUACAUCCAGUAAAGAGCGUGACAUUUGAAAGCUCAUGGGUCAGCUGUGUUGCUAUUGAUGCAAGCGAAGGUUAGCUGGUAACGCAAUCAGUAAUUAGAACUGAAUAAAAAAUGGAAAUGCAACCAAUUAAAAUUAAGUUUGGAAGGAGCACAAAAGUGUACAUGUUCUUAAUAUUUUAAUAGCAUACAUCUAACUCGCUUUCUCACAAACUGUUGCACUGUUCUAUCUAUAAUAGUUAGAUGCCCGUGCGUUGCAACGGCAUGCAAAAUAUUCGACAAAAUAUUAGUGCACAAUGAUUACAUAAAAACAAACACUAUAUAUAUUAUCGACCUCGAUAUCUAAAAAUUAUUUGGCAACAAACAAUACAUAACUAAACUAAUAUAAAUCAAAUUAUAUUACAAUGCAAAUAUAGUAUAACUGUACAUAACACAAGAUUGUAAACAUCACAACAUUGUCUCAUGUAAUGAUAAAAUGUACAACGAAAGCUUAAAAAGGUGAGCACAUAUAACACCUGACAUAAUAAUAUAAAGCUAAUGUUCGAACAGUCAACAAACCAGUAUGUUAAGACCAUAUAUUACAUAGCACAUGUAACACCUCAAAAUCUCAUUUUGAGAAUUAUGUAAAAUUUUCCCCUGAUGUUGAGUUAAAAUAUAUUUUUCAUAAGAAUUAUCUUACCUUUGAAACUAUACAUCCUAAAACCAUGUUUCCAGAAAAAAAAGAAAGGAGCUCAGUAAUAAUUUGUUCCUUUGAUAAAUCAUAUCUUCUAGACUUUACUCUUAAGGAUCUUUUUAAAAUUAGAACUAAAUUUCUUAAAAUACAUAUUUUGUGUGCACAUUUAAAAGCAUAAGCAUAAAUAAAUGAGAUAAGAAAUAAAUAACAUAAAAUUAUAUUUUGCAUGCGGAGGUGUUGUUAUAAUGAUGCAUAUGAAUGUGAAUCCUGAACCUAGAUUCGAAUUUGAAUUCAAAAUAAUUUCAUCAUGCUAGAAUUUUGGAUGAGCAUUUAAAACACAUAAUUGAAUUCAAGUUUGAAAACUAGAAAUGGGAAAUGGAAAUGAACAAAAAAAAAACAAAACAAUUCUACCUCACCUGGGCCGAAAUUGCCCCAUGCGGCCCAUCUCCCUUGCUCCGCGCAGCCCAACCAGCCGAGCCCAUGCUCACCGCCUGGCGGGUCCCGCCUGUCAGUCGGCCUCUGCGCCCACCAAACCCGCUGUCUCUGGCGCUGGAAUGUGGGUUCCACUUUGUCAGCUCAUUCUCCUCCCUCCCAACAAAUCCGCGACGACUCUACCGCUCUGCUCCGCGCCGCCGCCGUGAAAUCAGUCGGGCGAUUCCCCUUUGAUCUGAUGCCUGCGCCGGGAUCCUGGGCUGCAUUCGCCACCCCUAUGCGCUGGUGCCUCUACUCCCUGCACCUUGCUGUCGGCUUGCACAAUCCGCGAUUCGCGCGGCCGGCUCAACAGACUCCGCAAAACGCCCGCCGCCGCCGGGAUCGGUACAACAGGGAUUGGAUGAACGACCUCGGACAUCAGGGUAUAAAUGGGAGGCCACGCUACUCUUCCCAUCGGCCAUCUAGAUACACCAAAGAUUGAGUGAGAGUGUGUGGGGGUAGCUCAUGAGCGUUCGCCGGUGAAGGAAAAGGAAGCCGCCCGUGACCGAACUCGUGCGUCGCCGUCACCAAGACCUCUAGGUGAGGCCCAGGGGCGUCGCCAGGGCUUGUGGAUGUUGGUGUGGCGUUCACGGGCGCGGUAGACCGAUCGGAGCAUGGAAUUUCACAUCGGAGUUCAUCGCCAACGCCAGGAAUCCGCCGUGCGCCAUGGACUGGGGUCUCUGCUAUACCACUGUAGGUAAUUCAUCUCCUAUUGUGUUUGGUAUCCCGUCCUCAUCACUUAGCACUAACUAGACUCGAGGUUGCGGCCUUCGGCGUUGGAUUGCGCGGCUCCGGUGUGGCUCCGCCAGGUGGAGCUCGGGCGCCGUCGUGCCCAGUCUGUCGGAGGUAGGAGAUAGGGUUUUGGAUCGUCGAUUGACCAAUGAACGACCCAGAUUGGAUCGGUACCUAACGCUUCGGCCUGGGAGAUAAUCACUGUCCGUUUUGAUCGGACGGGCGAUACUGGAUUAGCCCUCAUAAAAUCUCCACCAUAGGUCUUCGAUCGGACGGAUCGCGCUAAAUACUGAUUCGAUUAAGUAACAGUCUAAUCGAUGCCGUCCGUGGGGAAUCCAACGGAUACCUUUGGUCCAUACCCCUUCGCCUCGACAUUUAUGCUAAAGAGACCCUACGUUUUUUAGAAAUAAACCCGCCAUCCCCGCGGGGAAGACCUGAGUCACAGGGAAUUUUAUGCGUUAGACCCCCGGGUUAUUUGUUUUAUGUGCGCAGUCCAGAGGUCAGAGAAAAAUAAUGAAGGAUUAUAGAAAUUGAUUUUUAGUAUAUAAAUAAUUCUAGAAACUUGUUUAAUCUAUAUAAAAUUCAUAUCGCGACCAAAUUAAUUCAUUCUAGUUCCUAUAAAUUACUAAUAAUGUUGUUUAUCACCUUGUAUCUCUGUUUUAAUAUGAAAAUGGUAUUAAAAUUUAUUUCUUAAUUAAUCUCGUAUCAAAUACAUAAAACCUAAGGAAAUUCGUAUCUCCUUCGUUUUAACUCCGAUUGGAUCCGUUCAAGUUGCGUUAGUCUCGUAACAACGCGUAGAUUAUUAUUACGCAAUUUAUUCUUAUGAUUGGUGUGAUGUUAAUCUUGCCUAUACCAUGUUUGUUUGUAUUGCUACGACUAGCGUGAGGACACGAGUCAUCUGAAGAUCAUCCUGGUACCUGGAAUCUCAAGUGCCAGGCAAGUUGUGCCCUUGAUCACUUCUUUUUACCCACUCAUGUUCUAAUUAAUCAUAAUGAUCUGCAUAGGUUAAUUUUGAUGGGACCUAAUAGGUUACCCUAGUUUUGACUAUCUUUAUACCUUGUUUACCACUGAACUUUUUGGGUAGUACUUGCUAGUGCUUUAUGUGGUUUUGGGUAUGAAGAUACAUUAAUUAUGAUUACACUUUUAUUAUCUGUUUAUUAUCACUGUUCAUGAUAAGAUCAUUAUGUUAAUUGGAACAUGGAGAACCACCCGGGAAAACAGUGCUACCACAAGGGUUUAAUGGGACGCCCUUGGCCGAUUAAUUAGGAAAGCUAGUGGAAGACUACCUUACCCGAAAGGGGCAAGGGCAGUAGGGGAGUGGUCAGUGUAGGGAGGCCCUCGGGAGGAUUUUGCUGUGAUGGCGGUCCUGCAAGGGAUUCCUGGGAAGGCCCUCGGGAGGAUUUUGCUGUGAUGGCGGUCCUGCAAGGGAUUCCUGGGGAGGCCCUCGGGAGGAUUUUGCUGUGAUGGCGGUCCUGCAAGGGAUUCCUGCAUUGGAGCUUCCUAUAAACUGUAGCGGGUUUUCUGAAGCUAGUGGAACUUUGUAAAGGCCUCGUAGUGUUACCCUGCCUCGCCUCCUCGGUAGAGGUGUAUGGGAAGUCGCGAUCCCUUGGCAGAUGGGUAACAUGACUUGUGGGUAAAGAUGCGCAACCUCUGCAGAGUGUAAAACUGGUAUACUAGCCGUGCUCACGGUCAUGAGCAGCUCGGACACUCACAUGAUUAAUUUAUGGAACUUAAAUUCAAUUUGUCAUAUGCAUUGCAUCGCAGGUGAUGUCGUUACUUCUGUUCUACUAUUUAAUUGGGUUGGUAUUUACUUAUACUUAGUAAUUGCUAAUAAAAUUUUGACCAACUUUAAAAGCAAUGCUCAGCUCUAGCCAUCCUCUUUGGUAAGCCUUACACUUCACAUGAGCUCCCACCUUUGGCGAGUUCAUACACAUUAUUCCCCACAACUUGUUGAGCGAUGAACGUAUGUGAGCUCACUCUUGCUGUCUCACACCCCCACAGGUCAAGAACAGGUACCGCAGGAUGAGGCGCUUGGGGAUGCUGCGAUGUGUUCGUGAGAGGUCUAGGCCGUCGUCUCCCAGUCAACUUUGGGUUGCUGGACCGUUGUCUCCUUGUAAUGUAACUAUUUAUUUGUAUAGAACUCCUAUUAUAUAUAAAGUUGUGACAUUCGAUCCUGUGCCACUAUACAUCAUAUGUGUGAGACUUGGUCCCAGCAUACCUGGUGUUUAUGUUAGCGCCCGGGUUUUGGACCCCUAAAAUCCGGGUGUUACAGAAGUGGUAUCAGAGGAAUGUUGACUGUAGGACGAAACCUAGAUAGAAAUGGACAACCAUUCUUUACUUACCCUUGCUACUCUGAUUCUUUUCUAAACUUUUCUUAAUCUUUUCUCAUCUAUUUCCGCUUUACUCUGAUUAUUCUUACCUUUUCAUUCUAAAGACAAAUGUGGAUUUCACACUUUGAAAAUCCUGUGCCUAAAGUGACUUUAGGAAUAGGAGACCUACUCUUAGGAACAAAAACAAAACUAUUUUUAUAGGUAUUUGUAUGCUUGAAUGUUUGUUCUUAUGAUACUUGUUUGAUUUGGAUCUUUGAUUGAGUGUGAUUAGUUGUGGAGUAAUGUCCACAAUCACAUCUGCAUAUACAUAUAGAAAAAAACGGUUAUAAAAAUAUCUAAAUGAACUAGGUUAUCCCUCAUCAAAGAAUCUAGCCUAGCAAAAUCCAUCUUAUCUUGAAAAAGUCUAUCCUACACUCAUAGAUCCAUCUUAUCCUAAAAAAAAUAGAUUCUCAUCUUAUCUUGAAAAGAUUUAUCUUAUCCUAAUAUAUCUAUCUGACCUCAAAAAGAUUCUAUCUUAUCCUUAUGGAUUUAUCUUACCCCAAUAAGCAUAUUUAUCCCACGCUAGUGUAACAACCAUGAUCUAGCCUAAAAUAAAUAAGAUCUUAUCUAGUCAAACUAGUCACACCAAUCUAACCUAGAUCUGAUCUAAUCUAAAGUGACUUAUCAAACAUGUUAGAUAAUACUGAUGAAAUAGAUUAGACUCUACUCCUAUAGAACAGGUCUUAACUUAGUUCACCCUGCACUAAAUUAAGAAUGACAGAUCGACUUGGCCAUAUGCAACUACCUUAACCAUCCAAUAGUUGCAUAACCACACAAUUUUAACCUAGCAAGAGAUUCUAACCUACCUACACCAUACAAUCCAUCCUACUCACAUAUGUCCUAGCCAUAUGUCCUUAACUCGGAUGACAACUCCAAGAAAUAAAGGCCAAAGAAGACCAACCAUGUCAAAGAAGGAUAAGCAUCAACUCAAGACUUCAAAGAUCAAGUUGAAUCGCUAGCGGAACCAGGAUGCACAGUUCUGGAUGAAGUCUGUCCUUAUUAUACCCUUGCCAUAACCGUGCCUCAUGUGACAUAAUAGAUGGAUAGACAUACAAUAUCCAUAUAUUCCAAAUCGUCUACUAACUCUUAUAAAAAAAAAGUUGAACAAAACAUUGAUUCCCAAAACCAAAUGAGAAACUAAAAUGCUAGACCAAACUUAUUGCAUCCCUUUUUCCUACAAAUCUCGAGGACGAGAUUCUUGUUAAGGGGGUAGAAUUUGUAACACCUCAAAAUCUCAUUUUGAGAAUUAUGUAAAAUUUUCCCCUGAUGUUGAGUUAAAAUAUAUUUUUCAUAAGAAUUAUCUUACCUUUGAAACUAUACAUCCUAAAACCAUGUUUCCAGAAAAAAAAGAAAGGAGCUCAGUAAUAAUUUGUUCCUUUGAUAAAUCAUAUCUUCUAGACUUUACUCUUAAGGAUCUUUUUAAAAUUAGAACUAAAUUUCUUAAAAUACAUAUUUUGUGUGCACAUUUAAAAGCAUAAGCAUAAAUAAAUGAGAUAAGAAAUAAAUAACAUAAAAUUAUAUUUUGCAUGCGGAGGUGUUGUUAUAAUGAUGCAUAUGAAUGUGAAUCCUGAACCUAGAUUCGAAUUUGAAUUCAAAAUAAUUUCAUCAUGCUAGAAUUUUGGAUGAGCAUUUAAAACACAUAAUUGAAUUCAAGUUUGAAAACUAGAAAUGGGAAAUGGAAAUGAACAAAAAAAAACAAAACAAUUCUACCUCACCUGGGCCGAAAUUGCCCCAUGCGGCCCAUCUCCCUUGCUCCGCGCAGCCCAACCAGCCGAGCCCAUGCUCACCGCCUGGCGGGUCCCGCCUGUCAGUCGGCCUCUGCGCCCACCAAACCCGCUGUCUCUGGCGCUGGAAUGUGGGUUCCACUUUGUCAGCUCAUUCUCCUCCCUCCCAACAAAUCCGCGACGACUCUACCGCUCUGCUCCGCGCCGCCGCCGUGAAAUCAGUCGGGCGAUUCCCCUUUGAUCUGAUGCCUGCGCCGGGAUCCUGGGCUGCAUUCGCCACCCCUAUGCGCUGGUGCCUCUACUCCCUGCACCUUGCUGUCGGCUUGCACAAUCCGCGAUUCGCGCGGCCGGCUCAACAGACUCCGCAAAACGCCCGCCGCCGCCGGGAUCGGUACAACAGGGAUUGGAUGAACGACCUCGGACAUCAGGGUAUAAAUGGGAGGCCACGCUACUCUUCCCAUCGGCCAUCUAGAUACACCAAAGAUUGAGUGAGAGUGUGUGGGGGUAGCUCAUGAGCGUUCGCCGGUGAAGGAAAAGGAAGCCGCCCGUGACCGAACUCGUGCGUCGCCGUCACCAAGACCUCUAGGUGAGGCCCAGGGGCGUCGCCAGGGCUUGUGGAUGUUGGUGUGGCGUUCACGGGCGCGGUAGACCGAUCGGAGCAUGGAAUUUCACAUCGGAGUUCAUCGCCAACGCCAGGAAUCCGCCGUGCGCCAUGGACUGGGGUCUCUGCUAUACCACUGUAGGUAAUUCAUCUCCUAUUGUGUUUGGUAUCCCGUCCUCAUCACUUAGCACUAACUAGACUCGAGGUUGCGGCCUUCGGCGUUGGAUUGCGCGGCUCCGGUGUGGCUCCGCCAGGUGGAGCUCGGGCGCCGUCGUGCCCAGUCUGUCGGAGGUAGGAGAUAGGGUUUUGGAUCGUCGAUUGACCAAUGAACGACCCAGAUUGGAUCGGUACCUAACGCUUCGGCCUGGGAGAUAAUCACUGUCCGUUUUGAUCGGACGGGCGAUACUGGAUUAGCCCUCAUAAAAUCUCCACCAUAGGUCUUCGAUCGGACGGAUCGCGCUAAAUACUGAUUCGAUUAAGUAACAGUCUAAUCGAUGCCGUCCGUGGGGAAUCCAACGGAUACCUUUGGUCCAUACCCCUUCGCCUCGACAUUUAUGCUAAAGAGACCCUACGUUUUUUUAGAAAUAAACCCGCCAUCCCCGCGGGGAAGACCUGAGUCACAGGGAAUUUUAUGCGUUAGACCCCCGGGUUAUUUGUUUUAUGUGCGCAGUCCAGAGGUCAGAGAAAAAUAAUGAAGGAUUAUAGAAAUUGAUUUUUAGUAUAUAAAUAAUUCUAGAAACUUGUUUAAUCUAUAUAAAAUUCAUAUCGCGACCAAAUUAAUUCAUUCUAGUUCCUAUAAAUUACUAAUAAUGUUGUUUAUCACCUUGUAUCUCUGUUUUAAUAUGAAAAUGGUAUUAAAAUUUAUUUCUUAAUUAAUCUCGUAUCAAAUACAUAAAACCUAAGGAAAUUCGUAUCUCCUUCGUUUUAACUCCGAUUGGAUCCGUUCAAGUUGCGUUAGUCUCGUAACAACGCGUAGAUUAUUAUUACGCAAUUUAUUCUUAUGAUUGGUGUGAUGUUAAUCUUGCCUAUACCAUGUUUGUUUGUAUUGCUACGACUAGCGUGAGGACACGAGUCAUCUGAAGAUCAUCCUGGUACCUGGAAUCUCAAGUGCCAGGCAAGUUGUGCCCUUGAUCACUUCUUUUUACCCACUCAUGUUCUAAUUAAUCAUAAUGAUCUGCAUAGGUUAAUUUUGAUGGGACCUAAUAGGUUACCCUAGUUUUGACUAUCUUUAUACCUUGUUUACCACUGAACUUUUUGGGUAGUACUUGCUAGUGCUUUAUGUGGUUUUGGGUAUGAAGAUACAUUAAUUAUGAUUACACUUUUAUUAUCUGUUUAUUAUCACUGUUCAUGAUAAGAUCAUUAUGUUAAUUGGAACAUGGAGAACCACCCGGGAAAACAGUGCUACCACAAGGGUUUAAUGGGACGCCCUUGGCCGAUUAAUUAGGAAAGCUAGUGGAAGACUACCUUACCCGAAAGGGGCAAGGGCAGUAGGGGAGUGGUCAGUGUAGGGAGGCCCUCGGGAGGAUUUUGCUGUGAUGGCGGUCCUGCAAGGGAUUCCUGGGAAGGCCCUCGGGAGGAUUUUGCUGUGAUGGCGGUCCUGCAAGGGAUUCCUGGGGAGGCCCUCGGGAGGAUUUUGCUGUGAUGGCGGUCCUGCAAGGGAUUCCUGCAUUGGAGCUUCCUAUAAACUGUAGCGGGUUUUCUGAAGCUAGUGGAACUUUGUAAAGGCCUCGUAGUGUUACCCUGCCUCGCCUCCUCGGUAGAGGUGUAUGGGAAGUCGCGAUCCCUUGGCAGAUGGGUAACAUGACUUGUGGGUAAAGAUGCGCAACCUCUGCAGAGUGUAAAACUGGUAUACUAGCCGUGCUCACGGUCAUGAGCAGCUCGGACACUCACAUGAUUAAUUUAUGGAACUUAAAUUCAAUUUGUCAUAUGCAUUGCAUCGCAGGUGAUGUCGUUACUUCUGUUCUACUAUUUAAUUGGGUUGGUAUUUACUUAUACUUAGUAAUUGCUAAUAAAAUUUUGACCAACUUUAAAAGCAAUGCUCAGCUCUAGCCAUCCUCUUUGGUAAGCCUUACACUUCACAUGAGCUCCCACCUUUGGCGAGUUCAUACACAUUAUUCCCCACAACUUGUUGAGCGAUGAACGUAUGUGAGCUCACUCUUGCUGUCUCACACCCCCACAGGUCAAGAACAGGUACCGCAGGAUGAGGCGCUUGGGGAUGCUGCGAUGUGUUCGUGAGAGGUCUAGGCCGUCGUCUCCCAGUCAACUUUGGGUUGCUGGACCGUUGUCUCCUUGUAAUGUAACUAUUUAUUUGUAUAGAACUCCUAUUAUAUAUAAAGUUGUGACAUUCGAUCCUGUGCCACUAUACAUCAUAUGUGUGAGACUUGGUCCCAGCAUACCUGGUGUUUAUGUUAGCGCCCGGGUUUUGGACCCCUAAAAUCC
rnacentral:lncRNA from 1 species